rnacentral:lncRNA from 1 species
UGGGGAUGGUGGAGCCGACGGGGGCCAUGAAGAAGGUGAUGCCGUCAGCGGUGAGGUUGGUGGGGCUGGGUGUGAUUAUGAAGUUUACGGUGGUUUCAAAGUCGACUUGGCCGCCGGCUUGGGAGAACUGGACCGGGUUCGAGUGCAAGACCCGGCCGACACUGCCUAUCGUCGGGAAGGUGAGGCGGAGGAAGGGGGAGUUCCAUACGAAAUGGGCGUGGCCUUGGUAGGUGAGAUCGGUCGGCAAGUCACUCCAGAAGUCGUAGGUGAAGGACGUCGAUUGGGACUGCGCAGUGUUGGCGGCAGCGGCGAGGAGGAGGAUGAUGGAGGAGAGGAGAGGAAUUAGGGUUUGGAGGAGCUUAGCCAUGGCUUAAUUGAGUAUAUUUAGAUGUGGUGGAUGAUGGUGGUAUCUCUUGCUCCUAUUUAUAGUGAAUAGUGUAUAGUGUAUAGAGUAUAGUGUAUAUAUGCAUGAUAUUAUGAUUUAAUUGCCUAUGAAUUAUUAAACUUUCAUCAAAUUCUUAUUUUAUAUAUAAACUUCAAAUUAAAUGUAGCGUGAUAAUCACUAAAUUUAUUUAAUCUUAUAUUUGCUACCAAUCAGGAUUCUAGCCAAAUUUACUAUUGACAUUACAAAGUCGAGGAUAUCCUAAGAUGGAUUGAAACAUUAAGAUAUUCCAAGGAUCUUAAUAAUUUCUAUCAUUUGGCAUAAUUUUAUUUGAUUCAUAUCUCAUUGAAAGAAUAUGAUUUUUAUCCCCUCCGUUCACAAAGAUUGUAUGGUGAACUCAGGACAUGAGUUUUAAUAAAUACUUCUUCCGUCCCCAAAAUAACUUUCUAUGAGAGAGGGGCACGAGUUUUAAGAUAAAAUUGUUGAGUGUAUUCGAAGUGGUUAAAAAGUGUUAGUAUUGAAAGUGAUGAAAAUGUGUUAUAAUUAGUAUUUGAAGUGGUGAAAAGGUAAAAAAAUAGAGUAAAUAUAUGGAGUAUAUAUUAGUAGAAAGUGUAGAAAGAUCCACCAAAAUUGAGUGGAGAAAAAGAUCCACUAAAAUUGAUGUGUUAAAUGGUUGAAUAUUUUGUAAAUAUUGAAUGUGAAUGAUGUUUAAAAUGUAAGGGGCGUAGUUUCUAAAUAAAGAAAGCAUACAAUCUUUAUGGACAGACGAAAAUAAUAAUAAACAUACAAUCUUUGUGGAUUGAGGGAGUGAUAAACAUUUCAUUCAUUUAUUGUGGUUUGGAAUCGAUCUUUAUCAACAUUACAUGCAUUCACAAAUAUGAAGAAGGAUUUAAAACGUGUGACACCUUAUUUUAUAUUUAAAAUCGCAAUCACGAAGAGGACCACACUUAUCCUCUAAUCAAUGCUCUCCAUUAUUUUAUAGGAAAGGAUAAACAUGAUUCUUGGUUUAUUUAUGCUUUUAAUAUAUACAAUUAGAUGAUUUUUGGGGCAAAAAGUGAAGAUUUUGAUGUCCGACGGAGUCAAGUAAAGAAGUUGAAAAAAUCGAUUUUUGAUGCAAUUUUAGAAGAUCCAAAGAUGAUAAGAUCUGUGCUUGAGGGAACUUAUUUUGCAUAAGAAAGACUUUCAUUAAUUUCUUAAUUCGAGUAUAAAAUUAGAGGAUUAAAACCACAACUAAUGUUCCUUUGGCUUUUCCUUGAACAAUGUUGGGUAGCUAGUGAAUUUUCUUUGGUAAGUUCGUCCUUUUCUUUGACAAUGAGAAUUGACGUAAAUUGGAUUGUAUUGAAGAUUCUAGUAACAUUAUUCUAGUUUAUAUUUCAUGAUUUAAGGGCUGAAAAUAUGUAAGUAUGUUAAAGGCUAAAUUUUAGGUAAAUAAGUGCUCCAUACUUUGUUAAUAUGCCACUUUACAAAUAAUGUAUGUGUGAACUUGAAUUUGUUUUUUCAUUUAAAGAGAACUAAUAAUGAUAUCCAUUUCCCCCGUGAUGAUUCGAACCCCCAACUUAACAAUUACUGGUGAAACGUUUUAUCCAUGUGAUGACUCUAACCCCCCAAUUUAUAAUUAAUGAUUGGAUGGGAAGCGUAUUGAGGUUGUUAGUGAUUCUUCCAAGGUUAUUUUGUAACUAUGAACUAUCGAUUUUGUAUCAAUUGUACCCUGCAUUUGUUUUUUAGCUAGAGAAAAUAUGAGAAAAGAAAUGAGACAUUUAAAGGCAUAAAUUUUUGUUAUCCCUCAUUUUCUCAUCCAUCAAAGUGAACGCACCCUUAAAUGAUGAUUUGAAAAAAUAAAGUGAUUGUUUCUACGCUAAACCUAAUUGCGUUCGGCCUUUUUCGUUAUUUUAGUAUUUUCCUCAUUUAUUUUCAAUUCUGUUUCCUAUAUAUGGAUAUUUGAUGUAUGAGAAGAUGCUUUCAUAUGAUCCAUUUCAGAAAUAAAAUUAUUUAUUUUCUUUCUCACGAAGAGCGCUCACUUUGACAUCAGUAUCGCAUGAGCUGCACAUAAUUAAUGAAAGAAAAUAAGCAUACACUUGCAUUAUAUAAGAAGAGCAUAUAUACUCGCAGCCGUUUCUCAUAAAUUUCACGCAGUUUUUCGAUCUUUAGAGCCGCCGGCAUGCUCGGCCGAUCUGAAGCUCCAGUAGUCGAUAUCGUGAAGGGCGACGAGGUCGCCGGUGGAGGAGGCGAUUCCGACCUGAACCUGCGACGGAAGAAUUUCCCCCAAAUCAUACUCGUAUUCGAGAAGGCGAGUUUCUUUGUCGCAUUUGAGCGUAACGUCGAUGAAAUUGAUGCCGUCGUAUUGUAUGUGCAGCUGCGCCUCUUUCCCGAUGCACGAAUCGCCAAAUUUCACGAAGUUGCUCGACUUUAUCGAGCUGAUGUCGAUGCCGAUGUGCGGGAGAUCGUGGCUCGGAUCCCAACCGUUGGAGUAGAGGUCGAAUUCCACGGCAAAGAAGGCGGAGGCGGCCGGGCUAUCCCCCGAGGGGUUGAAUAGGCCUAGAUUGCCUCCGUAGGAACCCGGGGGGAUGGUGGUCCCCACGGGCGCCAUGAAGAAGGCGAUGCCGUCCGCGGCCGGGCCUUUUGUGGGGGUGAUGGUGAAUUUUAUGGUGGUAUUGAAAGAUACUACAAUUGAAUUUUCCCACAAUUUGAAGGGUUUGGAGUACAAUACGCGGCCGAUGCUCGACGGCCGUGGAAGGCCGUUGGCGUCGGUCUUGGUUAGCCGGAGGGAACGGGCGCCGUCGGGGACGUGGGCGUCGCCCUGGUAGGUUAGGUCGGUGGAGUUGGCGACGAAGGAGGUGAAGGUGAAGGAGGUCUUUUGUGAGGUCGCCUUGUUUGCUAGCAUUAGGAAAAAUGCUAUGCAAAAGAGGAGAAGAAUUAGGGUUUGUAGAAGCUUGGCCAUGGCUUGAUUUGAUGGGUGGAGUAUUAUUUGGAUGUAGUGAAUAGUGGUUGGCUCUCUAGCCCUAUUUAUAUUGGUUUAAUGCCACAUUCCAUUAUUAGUUUAAUAUAUUGUAGCUCACUAUUUUUUUUGAACUUUAUGGAGAAGGCAUGAGUUUUUUAAAAAAAUUGAGAAAUGUGUAUAAAAUGAAUAAAGAGGCUCACUAAAGUUGAUUUGGCAGGUAUUAAUAAAUUAUUUGUGUGAUGAGUUUUUUGUAAAUAUUGUGUGUGAAUGAGGGUAAAAUAUAAAGGUACAUAUGUCUUAAAAGGGACGGAAAUGACAAAUACUUAUUGUGGAUAAAGGUAGUAUAAUAUACGGAGUGUAUACUUAAGUUUAUCAAUUUUAUUACUAAAUUAAAUAUGGUUAAUUUAAUAUCAAUAUGCUUAUUAGUAAUUAGUAUUACUCCAUUCAUCCCAAAAACAUCAAUCUUUACUUAUUUUUUCGUUCGUCUCCAAAACAUCUUCCUAAUCUAUUUUUAUGUCCUGUAUUAAAUUUUCAAGCUAGUUUCACUCCCCAACUAUCGUUUAAAUUAUACAUACAUAUAUGGACGACUUGAAAAUUUGUUAAGGCAAUUGAUUAUGCCCAUGCCGUAUAGAAUCAAAAACCAUUCCUAAACAAAAAAUAGAAUAAUUAAGAAAAUAAUCUAGAAUAUAAAUAUAGAACUUAAAUUCUUUGCCACAAAUUUAAGUCAAUCAGCCGACAUAGUAAAUGUAUGUGUUUACAAGUAAUCAUGCCUUGUCUUGAGAUUCAAGUUGGCAAUUGAAGCAAAAUUUCUCACACAUAGCUAUCUACUCUAGCUAUGAAAUCAUGCAUUGUCUUGAGAUUUAAUUUGGCCCAUGAAUCCAAAUUUUGCAAUCAUGCCAUGUCUUAAGAUUCAAUUUGGCCCAUGAAACUAAAUUUCUUGAGCCUAUCUCUAACCUCUUUGAUAUUCAUAUAUAAUAACACCUUUAAAACACACACAACCCACUUCUAAAGUUCUACAUGUAUACACACGAACUCAUGCUUAUGUCACAAAUUAAGUUUUUCAAAAAUAAACUUUUCCCUAUUUGAAUUCCUUAUGUAUUCAGUUUGUUUUUAAUAUUUAAACUAUGUUAUUACAACAAAAUUAUCUAGCAGGGACAUGAUUUUAGCAACAUAAAAAAAGAUGUCAUAAAUUUCUUACUCCCUCCGUCCUCCGAAGCUUGAUCAACAAUUUCUUUUCGGCACGGAGUUUAAGGAGUUAAUAUUUUGUAUGUUAAUUAGUGUGGUAGGUGAAAAAAUGAAAAGAUGAAUAACGGGAAAAGUUGUUGCCAUAUAAGGAAAGUGAUCAAGCUUCGCGGAUAACCCAAAAAUGAAUACUGCUCAAGAUUCGCUGGAAGAAUGAAGUACAAUUUUAGGCAUAACAAAAAUUUAUUUACAUCCACACAUGCAUGCACCGAUACUUUAUCACAUGCAAAAUUACAAGUAACUUUGCUAAUUACAAAAAUUAAUACAUGAACCCUCAAAUGUCACUAGAUGUAAUGAUAUUUUUAUAUUUUUUCGACACACAUAAUAGUUACUCAUCACAAAAUAUCAAUAUUUUUAUCAUAUAGUGAUAUUUAUAAGUUUCACAAUUUUUCAAAUAUUAUGUCAAUGCUAGCUUAGACAUUUUGUUUUGACACUUUGUAUUGAAACAUGUUUUUUACAAAAAUAAAAUAAUUGAAUUUAUUAACGAAUAUUUAAACAAUCAAUCAAUAAUAACUACAAAGUGAAGCAAUUCAAGUUAAAAGGUAAAUUCUAAAUUUAAAUUUGAAAAACAAGAAAAUUCGAGCCUUAAUUUUUUUUAUUUUUUUAUAUACGCACUACAAAUCUCCCAUAAAUCUUAAAUCAAAAUUUAACCUUACAACAAAAAAUAAAUAUAUAAACUAAAAUGGAGUAUGAUAAUAUAGUUUUAUCAAAUUAUUUGAUAAUUCUAUUAAUAAAAGAUAAAAAAAAAAAUAAGGGGGGCCCACGGGCAUGCUGCCCCCAUAUGCUAUGGACCAUGGUGGCUAGGUCACUGCGCUCUCGAGAUCUACACUAUUUAUACGUGGUAUUCAUUGCGAAUUAUUUUGCAUUAUCUUUGUUUAUUUUUCUUAUAUUGGGAAAGAAAACAUGAGUAAUAUAUAGUAAUCUUUUAGAAGUCCAGUUACCAAUGUCGUCAAAAUUAUCUUGUCUAUUUUUAGAAGUUCAGAUAAACAUGCAACACAUUUUCAGAAGAAAUUUAAUAAUCUCUUACGAUUUACAUUUAUUUUUUAAAUAAUUAUCUCAGUGGUGAUAAAAUAAAAAAAUCGACUACAUUUUUCUAAGUAAUUUAUUAGAUACAAAAUAUUAUGAUUUAUGUUUGUAUAUUUUUUGUUUCCCAUUAGUGCAUUAUCAUUUCUAAGUAUCUUCUCACUUGUUCACUGAUUCACUAUUGGAUUAACAUGAAUAUACGAAUUUCAUAGUAUACCAACUGUUCGAUAAAAGUCCUAAAAGAAAUCUUCCAUAGAUAACCUUGCAAAUAACAGGAAACUAAAAUUACUCCCAAAGCAUUCCAUACAUAGAGAUGCGGAUUACCUUAUUCGUAGACUUAACGAGAGUACACUCGAUCGCUAGUCCUUAUUUACGACCCAAACUACACAUACAUUACAAAAUCACACAACUUGACGAAUGUUUCCACCGAGCUCCUUCCUGCUCUUGGCAGCGACGCCGACGUUUUGCACCAUGGUGGCCGUGAAAUACCACGCCACGAUGUCGUGUCUGGCGACGACUUGCCCCGUGGAGGCGGAGAGCCCGACUUGGACCUGCUCAGGAAGGAAGCCGCUCAAAUCGUACACAUAGCUGACCUCGAACGCUUUCGAGCCGGCGGUGACGUGGACGUCGAUCAUCUUCGUGGCGGCGGCGUAGUUGAUCCUUGCCGUCACCUGCUGCCCGAUUAUGGAGCCGUCGACCUCCGUCGUGUUGCCGGAUGACCUAGAGCCGAUGUCGAUGCCGAUGUGGGGAUAGUUCGGAUCCCACGCGCCGUUGACGUAGGUGUCGAACUCGACGGCGAAGACCGAGGGGCUGCUGCCGGAGGAGCCGAAGAUUCCGAGGUUGGAUCCGCUAGAGGAGGAAGGGAUGGUGGACCCGACGGGGGCGAUGAAGAAGGCGAGGCCGUCGGCGGCAGAGUUGCCGGGGCCAGGUGUGAUGAUGAAGUUUACGGUGGUUUCAAAGUCGACUUGGCCGCCGGUUUGUGAGAACUGGACCGGGUUCGAGUACAAUACCCGGCCAACUUUGGCGGUCUGUGCGUCGGUGAGGCGGAGGAAGGUGGAGUCCGACGGGAAAUGGGCGUCGCCUUGGUAGGUGAGGUCGGUCGGCUGGUCGCCCCAGAAGUCGUAGGUGAAGGACGUCGAUUGGGACUGCGCCACGUUGGCGGCGGCGAGGAGUAGGGCGACGGAGGAGAGGAGAGGAAUUAGGGUUUGGAGAAGCUUGGCCAUUGCUUAAUUGAUUUGGAUGUGGUGGAUGAUGGUGAUAUGUCUUAAGCUUGCACUCCUAUAUAUACUAGUGUAGUUCAUGCAUGAUAAUGUUGUUUAAUCAUCAUAUAUUUUAUUUCAUUAAAAUGAAUCACCUCGUCCAUUCGAGGUAAAUGAACCAUGUGAUCUUAUGUACUACCAGCCACAUUUUAAUUUGCUCGUUGGAAUAUUAUCUAUAGUUGUAUCUAUUGUAUUUGUAUAAAUGAUUUUUGGAAGGGAACUUAGAAAAAGUUCUUGAUAGGGGCUGUAUUUUUUAAUUUCAAGUGCAAAAUUAAGUUUUGAUAGACAAUUUACUUAUGAUUCAAUUUAACGAUCGGGUUUUCUGAAAAAAAAAAAUUCACACAAAAAAUCGAUUAUUUAAUAAUUUUAUAAGAAAAAAGAAGAAGAAGAAAUUUUCUAUUUAGGAUAUACACGAGCAGAUGAGAUCCUCUGUCCCACUAUUUUGUGUGUACCACCAUGUACCAUUCUUAAUUUAUUUAUUUUAGUAAUUAUUUUUUAUAAAAAUAAAAAUUAUUAUUAUAUUUUUUAUUUUCAUUUAAGUGAGUUACUAGAUUUAUUUGGGGUGAGCACAGGUUAUUUUGGAAAAGGAGAAUAUCUGUAAGAUGAUGUGAAAAUUAUUCAAUAUAAGCACAUAUAGGGGUUGAGUUCUCAAAGGAACUUAAUUAAUAUCCAAUGUGAUUGAUACAUUUCGACUAAAUGGAUGGACUGUGACGCCCCGACCAAAAGUAAAGAGUGAUUGUGAUCGGUGCACAAGGCAUGGAUGAAAAGCGGUUCCUAGUAAUGCUUCGAUACGGAGGAUACAUGAAUGAAUCGAAACACACCAGAAAGAGAGGGAUUCCAUGAGUACGUACGCAGGUAUAUGACUGCAUAUUCGAGGAGCUUAAAUAAUUUUAUUGGUGUUACUCAUAUCAACAAGAUGCAUCUUCUUUUUUGGUGACCAUAUGAAAUAAACUCCAAGGUUAAGCGUGCUUGGCGUAGAGCAACUUGAUGAUUGGUGACCUCCCUAAGAAGUUUAUCAGAAAGCGUGCUAGUAAGAACAAAACAUGCUAGAAAAGACUCAUAUUAGUCUGUGGGGACAGCCGUUAAAUUUGGAUUCGGGUCUUUACAAGUGGCAUUAGAGAUUAACCUCUCACAGUAUGGUGCGGUUCGGGAACGAACCAAGCGGAAGUUGGUACUCAAUAUUCCAUCUAUUGUGAGUUUCUUUGUCUUCUUCAUCUUUCUUUUACUCUGCUGUCGAGUUUCAGAGAGUAAUCAGAUAGGUUUUCAUUCGAGUUGAGUUUCUUGAGUGAUAAACUGUUAAUUGUGAGUUUCAUUCGAUCAUUUGUUGAUUAUAAAUAUCUGCACAUGGAUAUUGGUCAAUUUAGAUACACUGAUCUUCAAAUUGAUUGACGAAUCUUUAGAAUUCAAAAUUUAAAUCAAAUACGCGUGUUCAUAGUUAAUUGGUAAGUACACUUUUUUUUNAUAUAAAUAUAAUUGACUCGAGAUCUCUGCUACUUACGCAUACUUCGCUCGAGACAAAAAUAAAUAAUUGAUCAUUGAGAACUCCGCUACCACACCAUACUCGUGUACUAUUUAUCAUUGUUUAUGAUUAUUAAUAAAGACGUGUCUUUGCCUGAUAAAUUUAAUUUUCAUACUCUUGAUUCUUUUUUGGCCAUAUCAUUUUUUAAAAAAUUGGGAGGGGAAUGGUGGAAAUUGAAUAUGAAAAAUACCAGUCAAAUGAUACAUGUGCACUUUCAAAGACAAAACAUAAAUGUAACCUUCGUUUGUAAAACAUAGAAAUUCUACCAUAUAUUUGUGAUUAUUUUACCUUUAUACGAUCUAUUUAUAUAUAUUUAUUAGAAUUAAUAAAAAUAUACUACAUUCGUCCACGAAAAAGAAUCUCAUUGUGUGCUGGAUGUGAGUCGUAUCGAGAGUGAGAGGGAACACAUUGUCUCCGGUCUCUGCCGUCUUGGCGAGAUCUUCGGCAUUGGCCUGAUCCGGCCGCUGAGGUGGCCGGUAGGUCAUCCAUGGAGUAUGGCUAUAUUCAUACUCGUAUCCCAUUUUGGUUGUAGAACAAGAAGGCGGUGUUGUUGAAAUCGUCGUCGUUGAUAUCCUUUGGAAAACCGGCUGGGAUAGUUUUCGCCAUUAGAGUGAUGUGCGUAGAAGAGAGGAUCUUCCGGCGGUCUUCGCGGAAACCGUUGUCGCGUGUCCAUAGUUCAUGGAUUGAAAAUAUGCAGGUAAAGCACCCGGCGUACUCGGCCAUACAAUUAACUCGCCAUCAUGAGCUAUAAUUCUAUUCGAGUAAGUUCAAUCUCUAAUGAAUUAAUAUAUUUUUAUAAAUAUAUAAUUUGCAAAAUAACCUUAAAAUAAAAUAUGUAAUAAGGGUAAAAUAGGCAAUCCACAUGUUGUGCUCAAUGCUCUUUUUAUAUUACUAGGAGAAAGAUAAUUAAUGUUAUUUUAUCUAAUAAAAUAAAAAAUAUAAAUAUAAUAUUUAUUAUAUUUAAAUUUUUAAUUAACAAUUUUGUUUAUUUAAUUCUCUUAUCUCUUACAAUAUUUUUUUUUAGAAAAUCUAUUAGUUCAUUACUUCGACUAAAUAUAAUUUAUUGGAUAGAUAUAUUUAUUUAUAAGCCUUAUCAAUAGCUAUAGAUAUAUAUUACAUAGAUUUAAUGUAAUAUUUAAUGAAUCAAUAGCUCUUUUCUUUUAUAUUAGUAUAGAUUAUAUAGAUAGAUAUAUAUAGUGCAUGCAUGAUAAUGUUGAUUGAUCAUCGUAACUAUAUAAUUUAUUGCACUAAUAAUGAAUCACGUUCCCACUCGAGGUAUAUAAAAUGAAUCAUGUGACCUUUUCUACUACCCGACACAUUUUGCUCCUUGGAAUAUUAUUUAUAAUUGUGUCUAUUGUAUAGUGCAUGCAUGAUAAUGUUGUUUAAUCAUCAUAAAUCUUCAUGGCUCAUCCACCUCAUCCAAUCGAAGCAUAUAAUGAACCAUGUGAUCAUAUCUACUACCUGACACAUUUUGCUUCUUGGAAUGCUAGCUAUAAUUGUAUCUAUUGUGUGAAUGUAAGCAAAAGGGCGCGCACAAUUUUUUAUUUUUUUUUGGAUAGGUGACUCGCUCAAAAUACCUAUUGAAUUGACUCGUAAUCGCACGAGGUCAUUCUAGCGUAGUAAGCUAACCCAUGUCGUAUCUCACAAGGAAGAUUAAGCAGGACGACUAAUUUUGGAUUAUUUUUAAUCAAAUGUUGGAUAUUUUUUAAUUAGAGUAAAAUUAAAAUAAGUAAAUUAUUGUAUAUUUUCAGAUUCGGAAACUAAUGGCUUUAUUUUAAUUUAAUCAUUUUCAUAUGUCAGUUAUAUUAUGUAAAUGACGUUUUUAGUAACAAACAAAUGACAUUUUAAUCAAUAAAUGAUACUUUUAUCAAUAAUAAAUGAAACCAUAUUAAGGUAAAUAGGGUAAAGGUUAGACUUAACUGUGAAAGCAUCAUGAGUUUUAUGUGUAACAUUUUCGGUGUGAAAAUUGAUGAGUUAAAAAAAAUGCUCCAUAUUGAAUUCGACAUUAGAUGAAUCUACAGUAGAUUUUCAUGCAUGAUCUAAGAGCUGAAAAUGAUUCACGGUCUAUAUUUAUUCUAUCAAAUUCCAUAUCACUUUAAAUCUCAAAUUACAUUUGCACUAUAUAUGAUUAUAUCCUAAAUUAUCAUAAAUAUGAACCGCUUAAAUCUGGCGUCGUUGCACCGCGGACAUCUUGCCGCUGCUUUCUCCCACCAUUGCCCUUGCUGCCCUCAUCUUAGGUGCCAAUUUUUUGCUCGUCGUGCAGAAUUUGAAAGGGGUAAAUUAUUUUUUCAAUUUUUUAUUGCAUUUUGCUGUCUAAGUUGAUUUCUCAAGUAAAGUGGACUUGGGUUUUGUUUCGAUUAUAGCUGAAUUCGAUGGCGCUGUGUGGUUAGAUCUGUAAUUUUGACGUGUUGUUGAAGUGUGCGGGAUUGAAUGUGAUCUGGGAGAAUUUAAGGGUUUUGGGACGUUAGUAUGAUGAUGGUGGGAUUUGAAUGAAUUUGAAUACCAGAUUAUGGUUGAUGUUUAAUUAUGUGAAUCUUGCGAUCUGUGUUGAAAUUAAUGUACAGUAUCUUCGCCUAGCCGGGGGUUCACCAUUUGGUUCCCGACCGUCCUGCUGCCUUCACUCCACACUCAAGUGCCAAUAUCUUCUUCUCGUUUCUCUUCCUUCUUCUUCUCCUCUUAGUACCUGCAAGACAGAAGGAAAAACCAGCAAGUAUAAAGAAAAAUCAGAAAACUUAAAGAAGUAAAGAAAGAAAGAAAACAAAGGAAACUCGAGGUGGGAAAAAGGUGUCCUCGGGACACAGGUGGCUCAGAUUUUUCCCACAGUGGCAACACACUCCGGCAGCUCAAAGACCACGGCACAAAGGGGAAGGGAAGUCAGAUCGGAGCUCAAAUCUGACGAGCACAGCCACCAAUAAUCAGGAAUCCGGUGGACAGGAUUCCGGCGGCUCAGAAAUCCUUCGCUUUAUCACCAAACAGGAAAUCUAAGGUCAGCAAUCCGACAAUAAUGCUAUCAACAGGAGGAAGCUCUCACUUUACGGCCACAACACCGGAAACCAGAACGGAAACCAGAGAACAGAAGGAAUAGCAGAGCCUUCAAGGUUGUGAACAUACUACAGAACUUCCCCCAAUCGAUUGCUUUAUAACCGAGACAGAGAAGGGUCGGGAAGAUGUAGUGGGCUUUGGGAAGGAGGAGGAAGCCAUUAAUGGUGGUGGAGCUCGAGGGAAAGCGAGAUCAGCAGUCGUGAAGACUUAGGGUUUGGGAGGGGAUUUGAGGUGGAGCGGCGGAGGUUGAAAUGAGGGAAAGGCCGAGUGAGAGAGGGAGUAUUUCAGUGGAUAAUGGGCUAGGGUAUUUUUGAGUUAACGGGCUAUAGGUGUCUGGGCCCAAAAGUUGGGCCAGAGAAGGGAUAAAGAGCAUUGGGCCAACAUUCCACAAUUAAGACAAUUAAGAGUAGAAAUUCUUCUUGAUUUGCUAAUUUAUUUAGGAUUAGCGAUAUUAGUUUGGAGUUUUAGAUGUCGAUUGAUUUCGUGAUCUUGAUUUAUGUGAUAAAUGCCUCUCAUCACUAAGAUUUGGAAUAUAUUGGAUAUCUAGGAUAGUGAUAUUAGUUUGGAGUUUUAGAUGUUGAUGUGUCUUUUUAGGCUGCGUUUACUUUGAUGGAUAAAUUUAUAUAUGGAAAAGGAUGGAUAACACAAAUUUAUGCUUUUAAAUGUCUCCUUCCUCUUCCAACAUUUGACACAAAAAGAGAUGCUCGCUAUUUUUUCUUCCUUAUCUUCACUUCAAGGAUGGAUAAUAUUAUCCCUCCAUUUUGGUGUGAUAAUAUUAUCCAUCAUUGAAGUGAAGAUAAGGAAGGAAAAAUAGUAGAGCAUCUCUUUUUGUGUCAAAUGUUGGAAAAGGAAAGAGACAUUUAAAGGCAUGAAUUUGUGUUAUUCAUCAUUUUCCAUAGAUAAAUUUAUCCAUCAAAGUAUACGAAGCCUUAUGUGAUAAAUGCUUUUUUAGGGGGGCCCACGGGCAUGCUGCCCCAUAUGCUAUGGAGUAUGGACCAUGGUGGCUCGGUCACUGCGCUCUCGAUUGCGAAUUAUUUUGCAUUAUCUUUGUUUGUUUUUCUUAUAUUGGGAAAGAAAACAUAGAGUAAUAUAUAUUUUAGAAGUCCAGUUACCAAUGUCGUCAAUCUCGAGUGAAAAUAAAUAUUACCAUAACACAAAAAUGACAAAGCUAUUGAUUAGUGACGAUAUGUUAGAAGUUCAGAUAAACAACACAUUUAUUCUUGUGUAUAUUAUAUUAACGUUUAUUAUAUAUUAUAAAAAGAACAUAUUCUUUCAAAAUUAUCUUGUCUAUUUUUAGAAGUUCAGAUAAACAACACAUUUUCAGAAGAAAUUUAAUAAUCUCUUACGAUUUACAUAUAAUUUUUAAAUAAUUAAUUAUCUCAGUGGUGAUAAAAUAAAAAAACGAAGUAAUUUAUUAUAUACAAAAUAUUAUGAUUUAUGUUUGUAUAUUAUUUGUUUCCAUUAGUGCAUUAUCAUUUCUAAGUAUCUUCUCACUUGUUCACUGAUUCACUAUUGGAUUAACAUGAAUAUACGAAUUUCAUAGUAUACCAACCGUUCGAUAAAAGUCCUCAAAGAAAUCUUCCAUAGAUAACCUUGCAAAAGUACGUGUAUCUAUAUUAAUAGAAUAAGAGCCUAAGGAAUCUUAAAACACAAUUUUUGGAUUGCCUAUUUUACCACUAUUAUAUAUUAUUUUAAAAUUAUUUUACAUAUUAUAUAUUAAUAGGAAUAUAUUAAUUCAUUAGAUAUUACACUAAAUCUAUGUGAUAUAUUUCUAUAGCUAUUGAUAAGGCUUAUAAAUAAAUAUAUAUCCAUCUAAUAAAUUAUCUAAUAAAAGUAAUGAAUUAAUAGAUUUUUUAAAAUAAUAAAUUAUCAAAUAAAAUAACAUUAAUUACACACGUACGUUCUUUCUGCUAGCUAGUUAAAUAAAAAGAAGAAGAAACUGAGACUGAAAAAGGGAGAAUUAAGAUAGUCCAUUAUUAUCGUCUUAUUUUUAGAACUUAAACGAGAGAAAAGUCCAUCGCUAGUCCUAAUUUACAACACAACACAACACAUGAUAAUAAAUUUAAAUCACACAUAUUGCCGGAUGUACCCUUCCUCCUCUUUGCCGGCGGCGGCAUGCACGAGGGUGGACGUGAAAUACCACGAGACGAUGUCGUGCACGGCGUCUUGGCCUCCGGUGGCCGCGGAGAUCCCGACCUGAACCUGCUGAGGAAGAAUGGCGCUCAGGUCGUACACAUAGCUCACCUCGUAUGUUUGCGAGCCGGCGGCGAGGCUCACGCUGAUCAGCUUAGUGGCUUCCAGGUAGUUGAUGCGCGCAGUCACCUGCUGCCCGAGCAACGCGUUGCCGACGUUGGUCACGUUUUUGGAAACAUUAGAUUCGAUGUCGAUCCCGAUAUGGCGAUAGCUAGGAUCCACUCCGGGGUUGGAGAAGACGUCGAAUUCCACGGCGAAGACGGCGGGGCCGACGCCGGAGGAGUUGAAGAUUCCGAAGCAGCCGCCGGUGAAGCCGAGGGGUAAGCCGACGGGGGCGAUGAAGAAGGUCACGCCGUCGGCGGGGUUCGUGUCGCCUGCGUUGGGGGUUACGGCGAACGUCAGGGUGGUCUCGAAGUCGACCUGCGCGCCGGCCUCCCAGAACGUGAUCGGGGCUGAGUACACGGCCCGGCCGACGCUGUACUGGACCGCGCUGCCGGAGCUGGUGGUGUUGGUCAUGCGGAGGAAGGUGGAGUCCGACGGGAAGUGGGCGUCGCCUUGGUAGAGGAGAUCGGUCGGCUGGUCGCCCCAGAAGUCGUACGUGAAGGCUGUCGAUUGGGACUGCAUGCGCCGUGUUGGCGGCGGUGGCGAGGAGGAGGGCGAUGGAGAUUAGGGUUUGGAGAAGCUUGGCCAUGGCUUAAUUGAGUUAGUAGUAUUUGCUUUGGAUGUGGUGUGAUGAUGGUGUAUUGGUGUUAACUCUUGCUCCUAUUUAUGCUAGUAUAGUGCUUGAAUGAAAAUGUUAUUUAAAUUAACAUCAUAUUUUUUAUUACACAAAAAUGACUCACCCCAUCUUCUCGAGAUUAACUGAACUUGUGAUCUCUAAUAAUUUAUAACCUACCACAUUGUAGUUGUUGGAGUAUACUCCCUCUGUCCCGGUUUUAGCACGAGUUUUAAUAAAUUGGUUGAUUGUAUUAUGAGUAGAAUAAGGAUAAUAUUUUUUAUGGAAGUGUUAAAAUAAUUAAAAUUGAGAAAAUGUUUCACCUAUUUUUAUUAAAAAUAGAAAUGAAUUUUAAAAUAUGGGACGACGGCCAGAAAAAGAAAAUAUAUAUGGAUACUAAAAGUUGGGACGGAGUGAGUAUUAUCUAUAGUGGUAUCUAUUGUAUGAGUACAAGAGAUUUACUUGACUUGUUGAGGUAUGGAGAGAUUAUUACAAACCACGUGAAAUUGAGUUCUUGCUCCCACUGUAAAAGCAAUAAAUAUAGGGAAAAGAAAAUUAAUACUUCCUUCGUCCAAGAAAUGAGUACACAUAUUUCUUUUUUAGUCCGUUCAUGAAAUGAGUACUCAUUAAUUUUUCUUUUUAUCAAGUGUACCUCACACAACCCUUUAAUUAAUUAAUACCUUUAAAAAGUGGGUCCCUUAUUCCACUAACACCACACUCAAUCAUUUCUUAAAACCUGUAACGUCCCCAAAUGAGAUUCAUUUCGUGGAUUGAGUAAAUUCUAUACUACAAAUUAAUGGUUCGAAUUCACUUUAAAAAAUAAACUACAAUUAAGAGUCCCUCUCUUAAUUGGAAUUCAUAGACCAUCUGCUUCAGUCGUGCCCGAAGACAGAAAAGGUUUGGAUUGGAAUUCAUAGGUGGCUAGGGAAUAAAAGCAGUGUGGCCUCAAUCAUUGAAGCACACUUCGAUUUGUUCACAAAUCUUGACAAAGGAAAGGAAGGUCGAUUUUUCUAGCGACAGUAUGGGUCUAUACCAUUUGGUUGCUGUGGAAAUGACGUAACGAGAGCAGAUUUGAGGGCAAGACUUGGGAGAUCAAUGACGUGAUCGAAGAAGUGAAAGUGAGGAUGUGGAGUUGGAACAAGAUUUUUGGACUACAUGUUAAAGAGAUUAGCUCUCAAUCUUGGUUUUCUUGUGAAACUCCUCUUGUUUUGUGUAAUUUGGUCGUAUCUCUGGUACCAAACUCUCUCCUAAUAAAAUUUCUUUUCUGAUUAAAAAAAAAAAAAAGAGUCCCUCUCUUAAUCAAGUAGACUGGAUGCGGUAAGAGAGAAAUCACUUCCAACUUAUCGAUUUUACUAGCAACAACUAGAUUUAUACUGAAGCUAAAUUGGAUCAGACUCUAGGAUUCACUAGUCUUUUACUCAAGGUGAGUCGGUUUACGAGUCUCAAACUCAAGGUGAACUAGAAUGUCUGUCAAUACGAACGUUGGGAGUUCGAGGGUUUUUUAGGACAGUAACUUAGAUUGAUUUGGAAAUUAGGACAAUAACUUUCGGACUUGUAAAAAUAGGACUCUAAUUCUUUUUAAGAGUAAAAUAGGACACUAAUUAAUAAGUGUUACAUCCGCAGGACAUUUUUCGGCCAAUUAUCGGCCGAGAAAUGUCCUACUUUUACGACGCUUAUUAAUUAGUGUCCUAUUUUUACAAAUUCGAAAGUUUUGUCUUAAUUUUCAAAUCAACAUAAGUUAUUGUCCUAAAAAAUCCCCUGACUCCGAACGUUGGAACAAGCUCGGCAAUAUACUGCUAUUCAACAUUAAUGGCACUUUGCACUAAAUGAAUUGGUGUCGAAUUAAUACAUCGUCUUGCUGCUCAUAUCUAUAUAAUAAAUGCAUACCUGCACCUCGAUAUUAAUCAAUUUAGAUACACUAAAUCUCGGAUAUACUUAACAAAUGGAUUAAUAAAUGUAUAAAUUUUAGAUUUCAGAAAAUCAAAUACAGGUGUUCAUAAGGAAAUGAUUAAAAACCCGUGUGUCAUUUAGAUAAGAUUAUUAUAGUACAGUUAACGAUGGUGAAAUAUUCUUUUACAUUAGAUAUAAUAGCAUUCCAGAUCUCAAUGGCAUUUUUUGUUAUAACAAAAAAAAAUUGUAUAUGUUCCAUACUAUCCUCAAACUUCAAAUUAUUAUUUUUCUUUAUUUUAAAAUUUGUAUUGGCACAUAUCUGUCAAUUAAUCAAAUUCAUAUCAAAACAAUAAUUCGAAUGAUAUAUUAGUUGGCUAGCUAUAAAUUACAAAUUAUUAGUGAUUAGGCAUGUUUUACACAAAUUAUUAGCCCAAACAACAUUUGAUUGUGUGCAAUGCACACACUUACUAAAAGCAGAUGUGAUCAUCUGUCCCACAAUUUAGUGUGUAUCACCGUGUACCAUUCUUAAUUUGUCUAUUUUAUAAUUAUUUGUUGUAAAAAUAAAAAAAAUAUUGUUAUAUUAUGAACUCUAAUUAAAAUUUAUAACUAAAAAUAAAAAUUAAAAAAAAUUAUAUACCCUAACUUUGAAUUAAUUAACCCAAAUAAUCAAUUAUUAAUUCAAAUAAAUAUAAAAAAUAAUUAUAAACUCUAAUUGAAUGAGUGAACCCUUAUUAAUUAGUUUCUUAUUAUAUUAUAAUAAAUUAAAAUUGAAGAAAAUAUAAUUAUAUAUUAUAAUAAAUUAAGAGUGGUACACGGUGGUACACACUAAAUUGUGGGACAGAUCCAUGUGCACUAAAUUAUAGGUACGGAGGUGCGGAUGCGGGGGCGAUACGAUACGAGUACGGGGAUACGGGUUCUAAAAAAUUAUAGGGUGCGAUUCGGCAAGGAUACAUCUAAUUAUUAAAAUUUUAUGAUAUACUAAUUGUUAGAAAUGGAUAUUGGGCCAAUUCCUCCCUUAAAAGGCCUUAUAAGGGAGAGGGUUACCUCACCAUAUAAAGUGGCUCAUGCCACUAUCUCCAAUCCAAUGUGGGACACUUCAAUACUAAUGCUUAUAAAAUAUAUACAAUUUAAAUUUUCUUAAAUUAAUUAUAUGUAAUUUACAUUUUAUUUUACCCAAAAGUUAAGCAUUUUCAAUUAUAUAAGUUAAUUGAGCAACAAUAUAACGAUUCAAAUAUUAUUAGUCCAAUAUAUAAGUCAUAACUGAAAAUAAAAUUAUCAAAAUAACCUUGUGUAGGCCUUUCGUGCACGAGAUACGUGAAUUUCGCCUAUGGAAUUUGCAAAUCCGGUUUAUUUUUAUAAAUUGUUUUAAAAGAUACGCACUGGUGAAUCGGUGCGAAUCCGACAAGAAUUCGAGAAAUCACACCCUAAAAGAAUCCGAUUCGCCGUACAUCUAAUUUUUGAAGAAUCCGUGCAUCAUAGGUGAGAAGAAACACAAGAGAGUAAAAUGGUACAUAAUGUAGAAAGACUUUUCUCCAAAAUAAAUGUUACAGUCUUCUAAUAGUCGAAAGGCGCAUGAAAAUGCGCAGUUAUUCGAAAGAAAGGAAAGGCUUAUUCAGCCACACAAUGACAUGGAAUUCGAAUUGAAAUUGAAAUUCAGACAAAUCCCAAACACGGUGAUGCAGAGAUCAAGCGGUAACACGAGGAAUGAUCUUAAUACCACCGAUGGUAACUUCGUCGCCGUUAAUGUGGGGAACGAUGGUGACGACAAUGAAAUCAUCAUCAGCAAUAUUGAUGUUCUCAUAGAGCUCCCUCAAGUUCAAGCGAAGGUCGUUGGCGCUUUCCGCAGCCCUAACCCUAUGCGGAAUCUGCGUGAAACUGCCGGCGAACUCGGCCCUGGCGAGGUCCUCUGGCUUGUCGUCUUCGUCAUUCACGAACACAUCGAACCUCACGAGCUUCGAACUAUCGGUGAUUAUGUUCUCCAGCACGAGCACUUCGUCGGCUUUGCCUUUGGUUGGUUUGGGCACCAAAACCCUGUGAGUCUUGUUGAGAGUGAGAGGGAACAGAUUGUCUCCACUCUCUGCCCUCUUGGAGAGAUCUUCGAUAUUCACCGGCACCUCCCUCCGCGGUGGCCGGUAGGCUGUCCACGGAGUUUCGCUGUGUUCAUACACGUAUCCCAUUUUGGUGUGGUCCAAGCAGUCGGCCACCUUGACGCGCACGAGGUUCUUCUUCUCGUCGUAGAACAUGAACGCCGCGUUGUUGAAAUCGUCGGGGUUGGGGACGACGAGGUCGUUGAUAUCCUUGGGGAAAACGGAUGGGAUAGUUUUCCAUAUGGUCCACAUUCUGUCGACGUUAGCGUGAUGUGCGUAGAAGAGAGGGUCUCUUCCGGCGGAGUAGAAGUUCCCCAUGUCUUCGCGGAAAUCGUUGGCGGGGUUUCCGGUCCAGACGUGGACGCCGCCGUGUGAGCCGCCCUCCGACAAUCCUCCCUUGGCGCGUGGCGGGGGCAAGUCCCCGGAAACGUAAGGAUCGCCCAUGAAGUCGAUGGCGGAUUCGACAUCACCAAUCAUUUCCUUGUACAUCUGAGUGAGAUUGUUUUCGAUGAUCGUUACAGGAUCGGUGAUCGGGGGGGUGGUUAUGGCAAGAGCAACGAGGGCCGGGGGGCGAUGCGUUGGGUCGCGGUUGACGUCGUAGAGCGGGGAUUCUUCCCUGUCGAACGGCCUGGGCAUCUGCAUACCCCUAGGGUUGUCCCAGUUCCAGUAGGGCAGGGCGAAAUCGGGAUCUCCGAUGAGUUCGCCCAUGAUCCUCUCGAAGAAAUAGAGGUACCACCUGUGGAAGGGGUGGAUCCAGAAUUUGUCAUUAGGAGGGACUAAAUUUGUUGAAGCAUGACGUCUCAAAUUAUUAGCCAAUUUUUUUUAGCAUUCCAUACAGUUCAUUUUUUUGUCGAACUACAUUCGAUUAAUUCAACAACAAGAACAUUGAAAGCAUAUAAAUACUUACCUCUCAAAAAUUGUUUCAUCUUCUAAGAAGAUAAGCUAAUUUUCAUCAUGGCAGUUCAUAAUUUUAAUUUAACUUGAGGAUUGACUCAAAUUCAACACUGAGAAUCAACUAAGAAAGGAAAGUAGACAAAAAUAACAUAAAUUUAACAAACUAACAUAUCAAAUUUAAAUCACUAUAAAAUAUUAAACAGUUAAAACGUGGAUACUAUAAUUAAUAAAACAAUGUAUUUUAUUAUCUCUUGUAUUUCUUAUCUAUACUAAUAGAAAAAGAGUCUAAGACAGUCUAAGGCACAACUUGUGGAUUGCCUAUUUUACCCUUAUUAUAUAUUUAUUAUUAUAUUUACAAAAUAUAAAUCUAUUUUGAUAAAUAUUUAUUUGUCACUCAAAUCUAUAAAGAAUACUUUAUAUCUAUAGCUAUUGAUAAGGCUUAUAAAUAAAUAUAUUCAUCCACAACGUACGUUCUUUCUGCUAGUAUAUAAUAAAAACAAAAACAAAAAACUCAAAAUUUGGGAGGCGGUCGAUCCGCUGCUAACCUGUGGAAAGGGAAGAAGAUCCAUGAGUUGUGAACCUGGAUAUCGAUGCCGGGGUGGUCCACCUGGUCGUAGGGGCCGUUGCAGUAAGCGCAGUGGAUGUUGGCCUGCUGAGUGAAGCCACGGGGAUCGUCGGGGUCCGUCACGUCCAGUUCCUUCAUCUUCUGGAUGGCCAACUCAUACUUGCGUACGUAUUCCGGUGUCAGCCUGUGCGCCGCCGGCCUAACGCGAGGUUUAGUGAACCUCGGAAGCUUGUAGUCGCUCUGAACGUCGGUGUAGGGCGGGCAGCAGUUGACGUCUAGAGAUAUUACCUCUUGGUUUCGAGUGGUGUAGGCACCUUCGGGGUCGCAGGUGCUCAGGUCAGGAGGCAAAAUCGGAAGCGCCUCAGCUUUGCGGAUGGCGCUGCCUGCGCCGUAUAGACCGCCCAGCCCAAGCAGCAUGUUUCUGCGGUCUAUACGGCCGCUGCCACCGCCACCGCUGCUGCAUGACACCUGAAAGCGGCCGUGGCUCCGCCGGCUGCUGAGCUGGGAGGGCUUGCGAAAUGGGGAGUUGGUGGCGGCGGCGAUCGCCGUGAAUGAAGAUUGAAGGGAAGCCAUGUUUGAGUGAUUGAUUGAUGGUCGUUGUGAUUACCUGGGGAGGCAUGUCUUUAUAUAGCAGAUGUGACACGAGUUUUAAGAAAAAUAAAUUAUCCGUUGAAUAAUUAAAUCGCCAUGUUUCUAUAAUUUAUUCCUAAUGGAUCUAGUCAAACUAAUCGUGCAAUAUUUAAUAAACCACGCAGCAUCAUUUCCGAGACUAAUAAAUGACAUUUUGAACCAGCUAAUCAAUUCCAUAUAAUUAACCAUUUGCGAGGCUGGCUGCCCUUCACUAAAUGGUUGUAUGCACUUGUCUUUGGAAAAGCUGUUUGGCCAUAUUAUGGCCAGUCAUAAUAUGGGAAAAUAUUAUAAAAGUCAUGUAUUUAAUUUUUUAUAUUUAAAAUAAAAAUAGGAUUUUAUUAGUUUUAUUUUUUAUUACAUAUUUUAGCUAUUUUUUUUUAUAAUUUUUCUGAAUUUUUUAGAAAAAUAAAAAAUAAAAUUACAAUGUGAACAAAAUUAUAAAACUAAUAAUGGUAGAGCAGCGGAGGGCACAGGUGAAGGGCAUGGCGGCGGUGUACUUAUUUUAGUCAAGUAAUUAUUAUUGCACGAAAAAAUAAUUAUUAAUAUAAAGAAAGAUAAUGUUUCAAAGACAUUAUCUUUCUUCAUGUCUAUUAAUUUUUCAUCACAAUAAUAAUUACUUCGAAUUAUCCGUGUUUUCAAUCGUGCGACCUGCACCCAGCCCGACCCGACCCGUUUCACCCAUAUAGUCAGUCUCACCCAAGUUUUUGCCUAAAGAUAAGUAUUAAUUAGUUGUGUAUGGUGAUAUGAGUCUUGUUUGUAUAAAUUAGUAGGCCUUUAAUAAUGAAUUGGCCCAUCUCAGGUGGUUUAUAUAAUUUACUCGUAUGGAUCUAAAUACAACUAAUCAUGAAAUAUUUAAUAUACCACGGAGCAUCUUUCUGAUAUACUAUUUAUAUAGUAAUUUAUUCCUAAUGGAUCUAAUCUCUGACUAUUUAAUAAUUAACUCGCCAUCGUUUAAAUAAUUUACUCCUUAUGGAUACACUCAAAGUAAUCGUGCAAUAUUUAAUAUACCACGCAGCAUCAUUUCUCAUACAAUAUUUUGGACCAUCUAACCAAUUACAUAUAAUUAAACCUUUUGCCAGGGUGGCUGUCCCUUCCACUAUAUGGUUGCAUGUAUUGAAUUGAAAUUUUAUUGAGGAAAAAAUGAAAAGAAAAACUAGGAAUUCAUUGAUAGCACGAAGACGCUAAUUAAGGGCUGAGCCUCAUCAAAACCUUUCCGAUAAAAAUCCAGUGAAAAAAACCACCAGCAAAGGAAAAAGAGUACCAGUCUAUUACAAUAAAAAAAUGAAGAACAAACUCAAGACAGGAACAACGAGAAGCACGAGAGGAUGAUAAAACAUCUAACCCGAAAAAAAAGACCCAAACCAAAGGAGCCUGACAAAUCCGGAGCCAGUACCAGCGCACCAGGAAACUGAAAAAGUUCUGGAGAAGCCACUUCGACCCAAGCACGCCAACCAUCCAAAAGAAACGACUACCACACCCACACCUAGGCCAAGAAAUAUAUAAUAUUGUGAAUAGUUCCCAUGGGAUCGAAACAGACCACCAAAACAAGAAAAAACCUCUAAGAGCAGACUACUCAUUGCCUGCCUGCCUAGUAUUCGAUGAAAUACCCAAACCAGAAAUCAUAGCAUAAAGCAAAAACCGCCACAGCUGGGGAGCGAAGAGCAGAAGGCCACCAAUAAGAUACAUUAGGAUUGCGCAAAGUCUGACAAAGAAAUCAGAAAACUUACCAGACCACUCUAGUUAAUGUAAUCUAUACAUGUCCGCACAUGAAAUUUGGUCAAGUUAGAUACACUAAUCUCAAAUCUAUUUAAUUAACAAAUUGAUUGAUUGAUAUUUUUUUCUGAGAGAAAUUGAUUGAAUAAUUUUUAGACUUCAAAAACUAAUAGUUAAUUGAUUGUUUAGAUAAGAUUAUUAUUACACUUUUAUAUAGAGAUAAUUAGUACUUGAGAUAUGUGCAAUUUACGCAUUCUUCUCUCGAGACAAAAUAAAUAUUAUUGACCAUUGAGAACUCUGCUACCACUACUCCAGUUCUAUUUAUUAUCAGUGUGCCCUCUCGCGCGCUGCACGGGUCACAACAUAUUUGAUUAUUUAAUUUUAGCUGUUUACGCAUACUUCGCUCGAGACAAAAAUAAAAUAAGAUUUAUUGAUCAUUGAGAACUCAGUACCACACCAUACUCGUGUAUACUAUAAUAUUUAUCAUUGUUUAUGAUUAUUACGUGUCUUCGCCGAUAAAUUUAAUAUUCAUUCCUUUAAUUUUUUUCUAUUGACAUUGGAAACUGUCUUGAUUCUUUUUUGGCCAUAUCAUAUAUUUAAAAAAUUGGGAGGGGAACGUGGAAGUUGAAUCUGAAAUAAGAAUCAAAUGAUACAUGUGUACUUUCAAAGAUAAAACGCAAAAUAUAUCAUUUUUUUGUAAAACAUAUAAAUUCUACUAUUUAUGAUUAUUUUAAAUUUAUAUAAUCUAUAUUUGUAUGUAUAUAUAUUCUCCAUUUGUUCAUGAAAAAGAGUCUCAUUGUAUGCUGAAUACGAGUUUUAAUAAAAUGGUUGUAAGUGUGAAAUAAAUGUAUAAUUUGUAAGAGUCUUUACAUUAGAUUAUAUUUUACUCUCUUCGUCCUAUUGAUAAUGACUCACUUUUCUUUUUCGUCUGUCUCAUUGAUAAUUGCAUGUUCCAAAAAAACUGAAACCAUUUGACCUCACAAAAUGUUGUGGGCUCCACUACUUUUUAUCACUUUUAUCCUUUAAUUACUAUUCUUAUUAAUAACCGUGUCGAACAGUAAUGAACUAUUAUCAAUGGGAGGGAGGGAGUAAUAUUUUAAUUUUGUUUGCUGCCACCACCACCACCACCACCACAAUUUAAAAAAAAAAAUCUACGUGAAUAUAGUAAUUAUUAGAACAAAAAAAUAACUAUAAUAAUAAUAUAUUAAUCCGUUAAUUAUCUAUACUAAUAUAAAAAGUGCAUUUGGCACAAAAUAUAUAUUGCCUGUUAUAUCCCUAUUAUAGUAUUUUAUUUGAAGGACAACUUUGUAAAUUAUAUAUUAUAUAUUUAUAAGAAUAUAUUAUUUCAUUAGAUAUUACACUAAAUAUAUUUGAUAUAUAUCUAGAUCUUAUGCUAUAAUUUUUUUUAUAUUAAUUAAUUAUUAUAUAUUGUGAUUUAAUAGAAUUAUACAACUCUAAUAAUUUAUAAAUGUAAAGUUCAGGGAUUGCAUGCAAUGCACACAUUCUAUGCUAGAAAAAAAAUAGAAUUCACUAAGCCGAUGAUAAAUAACACAUACAACGUACUAUUUCUGCUAGUAAAUUAAAAAUCUAUAUGAUUUUAUCUUCUAUCACUACAUUAAUUAAAAUCUAUCUUCCGUUUCAUAUUAACGGUGGUUUUUCAAUAUUUUUUAUAUUAAUUACUACAUAUUGUGAAUUUAUUACAAUUGUUAACCUCUAACAAUUCAUUAAUAUAAAGUUGAUGGAUUGUGUGUCAUGCACAAACUCUCCUGUACUCAUCUAAAAGACUCUAUAUGUGAGAAGAAACCGCAGGAGAGUAAAAUGGUACAUAACAUAGAAUAGAAAGACUUUCACAAAAUAAAUGUUACAUUCUUCCCGUAGUCGGAAGGAGCAUGAAAAUGCGCGGUUAUUCGCAAGAAAGAAAGGCUCACUCAGCCACACAAAACAUGGAAAUCCUAAACACGGUGAUGCAGAGAUCAAGCGGUAACACGCGGGAUGAUCUUAAUACCACCGAUGGUAACAUCGUCGCCAUUAAUGUGGGGAACGAUAGUGACGACAAUGAAAUCAUCAUCAGCAAUAUUAAUGUUCUCAUAGAGUUCCUUCAGGUUCAAGUGAAGGUCGUUGGAGCUUUCCGUGGCCCUAACCCUGUGCGGAAUCUGCGUGAAGCACCCGGCGUACUCGGCCCUAUCGAGCUUCUGUGGCGUGUCGUCUGCAUCAUUCACGAACACAUCGAACCUCACGAGCUUCAAGCUAUCGCAGAUUAUGUCCUCCAGCACCAGCACUUCGUCGGCUUUGCCUUUGGUUGGUUUGGGCACCACAACCCUAUGAGGCUUAUUGAGAGUGAGAGGGAACACAUUGUCUCCGGUCUCCGCCGUCUUGGCGAGAUCUUCGGUAUUGACCGGUUCCGGCCGCUGAGGUGGCCGGCAGGUCAUCCAUGGUGUAUGGCUAUAUUCAUACUCGUAUCCCAUUUUUGUGUGGUCCAAGCAGUCGGCGACCUUAACGCGCACCAGCUUCCUCUUCUCGUUGUAGAACAUGAAGGAGGCGUUGUUGAAGUCGUCGGGGUUGGGGACGACGAGCUCGUUGAUAUCCUUCGGGAAAACGGAUGGGAUCGUUUUCCAUAUAGUCCACAUUCUGUCGACGUUAGCGUGAUGUGCGUAGAAGAGAGGGUCUCUUCCGGCGGAGUAGAAGUUCCCCAUGUCUUCGCGGAAAUUGUUGGCGGGGUUUCCGGUCCAGACAGCCGCCCUCCGACAAUCCUCCCUUGGAGCGUGGCGGGGGCAAGUCUCCGUCAACGUAAGGCUCGCCCAUGAAGUUGGUAGCGGAUUCGACAUCACCAACCAUUUCCUUGUACAGCUGAUUGAGGUUGUUGGAGAUGAUCUGUACGGGAUCGGUGAUCGGGGGGUUGGUUAGGGCAAGAGAAACGAUGGCCGGGGGCCGAUGCGUCGGGUCGCGGUUGACGUCGUAGAGUGGCGACGCGUCCCUGUCGAACAUCGAGGGCAUCUGCAUGCCCCUAGGGUUGUCCCAGUUCCAGUAGGGCAGGGCGAAAUCGAGAUCUCCGAUGAAUUCGCCCAUGAUUCUCUCGAAGAAAUAGAGGUACCACCUGUGUAGGGAUGAAUCCAGAAUUUGUCGUUAGGGGGGCUAAAUCUAAAAGUAUUUGCAGUGGGGGCUCCCGUCCGCAAGACAAUUUUUUUUAACCAUUCCGUAUAGAUUUAAUUGGCUUAACAUUAGAAAUCAGUCACUUACUAUAAAAAAUAGUUGUUCGCAUUCCAUUAAUUCAACAACAAGUACAUUUAAAGCAUAUACAAACCUACCUCUGUGCAAUUUUUUAAAAUAUUAUUUCGACUUCUAAAAGAAUAAACUAAUUUUCAUUGUUAAUUAAUAGUUCAAAAUUUUAGUUUAUCUUGAAGAUUAACUCAAAUUAAAUAUUCAAUAUUACCUAAUUAAACAAAAAUGAGACAAAAAUAACACAAAUUUUUAACAAACUAACCUAGCAAAUCACUGUAAAAUGUUAAGCAAUUCUUUCUUGUAUUUCUUCUAUAUAUUAAAAACAAAAAAAUUAGGGAGGGGGCUUCAGCCCCCGUGGAUCCGCCACUAACCUGUGGAAGGGGAAGAAGAUCCAUGAGUUGUGAACCUGGAUAUCGAUGCCGGGGUGGUCCACCUGGUCGUAGGGGCCGUUGCAGUAAGCGCAGUGGACGUUGGCCUGCUGAGUGAAGCCGCGGGGAUCGUUGGGGUCCGUCACGUCCAGAUCCUUCAUCAUCUGGAUGGCUUUCUCGUACUUGGCUAUGUAUUCCGGUGUCAGCCUGUGCGCCGCCGGCCUCCUGCGAAGCUUUGUGAACGUCGGAAGCGUGUACUCUUCCUCGUCGUCCGUGUAGGGCGGGCAGCAGUUGGCGUCUAGAGAUAUUAUCUCCCCGUUUCUAGAAGUAUAGGCACCUUUGGGAUCACACUUGCUCAGGUCAGGAGGUGAAAUCGGAACCGCCUCAGCUUUGCGGAUGAGGCCGCUUGCGCCGUAUAGACCACCCAGACCAAGCAGCAUGUUUCUGCGGUCUACACGGCCGCCGCCGCCUCCAUCACUGCUGCACGACACCUCAAAGCGGCGCCUCCGCCUGCUGGCGAGCUGGGAGGUGGUGCGGAGGUUGGGGUUGGUCGUGGUCGCCAUCACCAUGAAUGAAGAUUGAAGGGAAGCCAUGCUUGAUUGAUUGAUGCUUGCAUUGCGCUCGAGGCAUGCAUGUCUAUAUAUAGUAGGCGUGGACACGAGUUUUAAGAAAAAUAAUGAUACUUAAUGGGAUUAUUUUCGAAAAUGAAUUAGGAAGAUGUUUUGGAGACGAAAAUAGAAAAUUGACCUUUUGCCAGGCUGCCCUUUCACUAAAUGGUUGUAUGCACUUAUCUUUUUUUUAUCUAUAAAGAGGUAUUUUCUCCAUUUAAAAAACUUAUCGAGGUAAUUAUGAAGACUAUUCAUUUUUAUCGUUGUAAAGUUAAUUAAAUUAUAAAAAUUAAAGUUGAUAAAGUUCUUAUUAAACAUCAUCGCUCUUCUGUCUUUGGACGACAAAAUUAAUUAUUUCAAAUAGAUAAAGAACUUGAUUUUCCGAUAUGGCUUCUCAUACUAAUUAAAUAAUCUAAUCCUAUAAUGUAUUUCAUAUAAAGUUAUCAAAUUAACAAUAUUCUGUGUGAAUUUUUUUGCCUUGAGUGUGUGUAUAGAGGUAGUCAGGGCCGGCCCUGAGGGUGGGCGGGCAUGGGCGACGGCCCAGGGCCCCAAAAAUUUGAGGGCCCAAAAUUUUUAAUAUAUCCUAUUAAUUAUAGAUCUUAUGUAUACUAACAACAUAGUUCAUCUAUUGAUUUUGGGCCCAACAUAAUUUAUUCUCAAAUUUAGAUCUAUACUUAAUAUAGAGAGUUUUCAAUUUGAAAUCAAUUUCAAAGUAAUUUCAAAAUUGAGUGACUAUUUUGUAGUUAUAAUAUUAAUAAAAUUGAAGGUUUAUGUUUAAACUAUAUAUUUUUAUUUUUAUUUUUAUUUUCAUUUUCAUUUUCUUUAACUUCUUAUUUGUUGUUACAUUUCUUUCCAAAAUUGUGAAAUUCAAUUAAUUAUAAAAUAUUUAAUAUGCAUAUCAAAUUAAAGAUCACAAUAAGAGUUUUAAUAUGAUAUAUUUUAUGAAAAAUAUUUGAUUUAAAAUGUAAAAUUUAUGCAUGUUCAAAUAUUAAAGUUUUAUAAAUUUCUCUCACCUCUCUCAUCUUUACGAAUAAAUAUAUUUUUAAUUCUUUUAAAUUAGUAUUUUAUUUUUAAUUUUUUUAACUUAUUUUUUUGUUUUUGUAUUUCAUAAUAUCAAAUUUUAUAAUUGUGAAUUCUUUUUUUAUUUUUUUUAAUAUUCAAUUCAAAUAUAUAUAAUUAAAAUUAAUUUUUUAUUAUAUUUAUAAGUAUAAUAAUUAAAUUAGUAUUAAUUUUAUAUAAAUAGUAAAAACAAAAAAUAUUUCCCGUGCAUGAGAUGCAAAUGGUAGUUGCACCUCGCCGCCGGUAAUAUAUUUAAGUAUAUAAAUUAAUUAAUAUUAACAAGGCGCCCGGUGAUCACCGGAGGCAUCCUUGCCGCUGGUAUUUCUGCCGCUACUUUGAAAAAUACGGCCGUCGGUAAAUCUGGCCGCAAAUUGUGUACGUUUUUUGGUAGUGGUAAUAUAUUAGGGCCCAAUUUUUUAAUUUCGCCCAGGGCCUCAGUUUUGUCAGGACCGGCCCUGGAGGUAGUUAUAGAAUUUAUCUUUUGUGUUCUCAAAGGAACUUAAUUAAGAUCCAAUGUGAUUGAUACAUUUCGACUAAAUGGAUGGGCAAGAUUCUUUUAACGCCCAAUAUUAAUUCCAUCUCAAAUCGGAUCUUAUAUAAUACUGUAUUUUAUAUAUUCUAUAAUGCAUUUUAUAUAUUACGUGUCUAUUAAAUUAACAUUGAUCUUAGGAGUGAUACAAGUUUAAAAAAAAGCUAGCUGUAUAUUUGGUGAGUAGAGAAGGGAUUUCAGAAAUUAGAAAAAAUGGUGAUAGGUAGUGGAAUUAUUUUAAAAAAUGGACUAAAAAGAUGUUUCAUGAACGAACGAAAAUGGCAAAAUAGGAAGAUGAGUCGUGGUCGGAGGAAAUAUUAUAAUGCAUCGUAUCCUUUUUUGGUUCGUAUAAAGAUUUUUAUUUGAUCCUCAUCGAGAACAUGCAUAUUGCGAAUACUUAAUUUAUUUCAAUAUAUAUAUAUUAAUUUAUUGGGAGCAUAUGCUAAAUAAAUUAAAUUAAUCCGAAUCAAAAGCGCUUAAUUAUCACUACAUUACAUGCAUUAUGACAAAAAGCCUGCGGCUAAAGAUCUUCAGUUUAAGUCUAUUGUCAUAUUGUUUUUAAAAUAUUAUUUAUCCAUUCCGCAUAUGGAUUGGUCAGAUUUAGAUACACAAAUCUCAAAUGUAUUUAAUUAACAAAUUGAUUGAUAAAUUUUAGAAUUCAAAAAUUAAAUCAAUCAAAUACGCGUGUCCACAGUCAAUGGAUUGAAAAUAUGCAGGUAUCUAGAUAAGAUAUAUUAUUAUUAUUAUUACACUGUUAACUAUACUGCAGUACACUUUUAUAUAUACAGACAUAAUUAAAAUAUGCAGGUAUCUAGAUAAUAAGAUUAUUAUUACACUAUUAACUAUACUGCAGUACACUUUUAUAUAGAGAUAAUUACUAGAGAUAUGUGCUAUUACCCAUACUUCGCUCGAGACAGAAAUAAAUACGAUUGACCAUUCAAUUAAACACUACGACACCAUACUCGUGCAUGUACUAACGAUCUUAUUAUAAGUGCACCUUCCCGUGCGAUGCACAGGUCAGUAGAAUUGUAAUCGAUAUUGAUGUGAAUAUCAUCAUAUUCGAUUCGUAUUUGUGAAAAUACUCUAAUAUUUGAUUCAGCAUUCGAUUCGAUCACGAAUACUAAAUACGAUCCCAUAUUCGAUUCGAUGUUAUUUUUGAAUUAUUUGAUACAUUUUUUAAAAUUAAUUAAAUAAUUUUUUUACGAAUAUUCGAUUCGUUUUCCAUCAUAUUCAAUUCAAAACUAUUCGAUUUGAAAUUCUGAAGGAAAAAAUAUGUUAAAUAAUAUUCUAAAAAAUAUAGGAUUAUAUCCAAUAUAUUUACCUAAUAAUUAAACACACAAUAAUAAAGUGUUCAAUUCAUAUUGUUUUAUGUCCCGUGGUUUGUUUCUAGGAUUGUGGUAAUAAAGACUGAUUGGAUCAGUCUAGUACAGUUGUUGUUUGAAUUUGUAAUUUUGUGUAACGGCAUUGUCAUCUUGUUGAGAUUAAUAGGAGUUAAUUUGUUUAAUUAAUUAUUCAUGAGUUUCUUAUAAGAUACCUUCCUUCGUUCCGUAAAAAUAGUCAUAAUUUUUCAUUUUAGAACGUCCAUAAAAAAAUAGUGUUAUUCCAUUUAUAAACAAUUUAGAUCCUUACCUUUGGGAUGAGAUAAAAUGAAAUUCCAUUUUAAAUCAUAAACUAGCUAUAUAGGAAGCAUUUUCAGCUCUUGAAUUCAUCUGUUGUUCGAAUUUCAUAGGAAGCAAGUUUUUUUGACUCAUUAUUUUCACAGCGAAUUCAUCAUGUUACACAUACCCUAAAGUGAUAUAUUUACCCUAUUUGAUAACAUGAUAAGUAUAUUUGAAGCGCUCACUAUUUUAUUUGAACUUUAUUAUCGAGUUUAAACGAGUUUUGAAAUAUUGAAUUAAAUUGAAAUAUCCAUGUUGAUCGUUUAAGAAGCAAAUUUUUGGCAUGGGUUUAUAAAAAAUACAUCCUAGCCUCCAUCCCUAAUAAGUGCGGUGUGAAGGAGUGGGCAAUAGUUCUUUAAAAAUAAUUGAGAGAUGUGUAUAAAGUGGAUAAAAUGGCUUACUAGAGCUGAUUUGUUAGGCCUUACUUUCUCUCUGCCCCACUAAAAUAAGCUCAAUUCUUUUGAGAACAUAGAUUAAUAAACUUUCUUUUGAGAAGAAAAUUAAAGUGGUGGCAAAAGUAAUGUGGUCCAUACCAAUUAAGCAAUUUGAGUACAUUUUUUUUUUCACUCAAAAGGAAAACGAGCCUAUUCUAGCGGGACAUUCCAAAAUAGAAAACGAGCAUAUUCUGCUGGGACGAGGGAAUAAUAAAUUGUUUGUGAGAUGAGUAGUUUGUAAAUAUUGUGUGUGAAAGGUGUAUGUCUUAAAUUGAAAAGACCAUACCUGUAUUGUGAUUGUACGGAAAGGUGGAACUGAGCAUCGCGGCGGCGGCGAGGCAGGAGGCGGCGGUGGUGAGGAGAAUCGAGAGAGAGAGAGAAAGAUGCCAGCAGACAGUGACGGAGGGCAGUGGGCGGCCCUUGGCGGCAGCGGAGACGACAAGGUACUGGCUGUGCCAGAAUUAUUUAGUUGCAUAGGAUCCUUCCAAAUGUAAUUACUGAUUCACUGUUGGAUUAACAAGAAUUAAAUUACUUCAUAAUACAGUAUUCCAACUGUUCGAUAAAAGCCCUUAAUGAAAUCUUCCAUAGAUUACUUUGCAAAGUUCAUAAAAUUACUCAAAAGCAUUGUUGCAUAGUCCGUACAUAGAGAUGGUCGAUUAUCUUAAUUAUGUCUAGAUUUAUUUACGACACACACACACACACAUCACAAAAUCACACAUACUGACUAAUAAGGUUCCCGAAAGCCGGCAUUAUUAGGCGCCAUGGUGGCCGUGAAAUACCAUGAGACGAUAUCAUGGGUGGUGGGUCCGUCUAGUCUGGUGGCGGCGGAGAGCCCUACCUGAACCUGCUAAGGAAGAAAGCCGCUCAAAUCAUACUCAUAGCUGACUUCAAACGUCUUCGAGCCGGCGGUGGCACGGACGGCGAUCUACUUUGUGGAGGCGGCGUAGUUGAUCCUCGCCGUCACCUGCUGCUCGAGUAUGGAGCCGUCGACCUCCGUCGUGUUUCGGGAUGACCUAGACCCGAUGUCGAUGCCGAUGUGGGGAUAGUUCGGAUCCCACGCGCUGUUGACGUAGGUGUCGAACUCGACGGCAAAUACCGAGGGGUUGCUGCCGGAGGAGCCGAAGAUUCCGAGGUUGGCCCCGCUGGAGCCGGUGGGGAUGGUGGAGCGGCGAGAUUGGUGAUGCUGGGUGUGGUGAUGAAGUUUACGGUGGUUUCAAAGUCGACUUGGCCACCGGCUUGGGAGAAUUGGACCGGGUUCGUGUACAAGACCCGGCCGACACUACCGAUCUGCGGUCGCCUUGGUAGGUGAGGUCGGUCGGCUGGUUGUCCCAGAAGUUAUAGGCGAAGGCCGUUGAUCGGGACUUCGCCCUGUUGGUGGCGACGGCGAGAAGAAGGGCGAUGGAGAUUAGGGUUUGGAGAAGGUUGGCCAUGGCUUAGUUGUGCAGUGAAUGAUGUCUACUACUUGCUCCUAUUUAUAAUGAUCGAAAAUAUCUACUACUUACCUACCACAGAUCCACAUCAGGGGCCCUGGAUGGGGUGGUCGACUACAUAAGCCCAAAAAAAUAAGGGCUCGGAAAAUAUAUAGAUCCAUGUAAGUAUUAUAUAUAUGUAUAAAAUAAUUAAAAGCCAACUAAUGAUUGAAUUGAUUAACUUGGCGCAGUGGAAAAAGGACAUUUUUAAUUCCUCUUAAUUACCAAUAUUUUAUUUAGUGACCAAUUUUUUUGUUUAGAUAUAGGGCCCAGCCCCUAUUUUGAUAAAUUAAGUGUAUGUAUUUCAAAUUAACAUUAUUUUAAGUUGUCGAAUUUUUUUGUUAAGAUUUAGGGUCCAGCCCCUAUUUUGUUAAAUUAACUUUAUUUUAAGUGAAUGACAUAAUUAUUAAUAUAUUUAUUAAUUAUUAUGUAAUUUGAUAAAAAAAUGUUUUAAAUAAUUUUAGUUUAUAAUUAAUUUAUUUCUCAAUUAUAAAUAAAUGGCCUAAAUUAAAAAAUUCGCAAAGGGCCUAUGUUCUCUUAGCCCUACCCUUGCACUGUUGCACAUGGUAUAUAUAUCUAUUCUAUGAAUAUAAGUGAUUAUUUUAUAAACCACGUGAAAGCACUUGUUCCCACUAGCACUAUAAAAGCAAUAAAUACAACGGAAAGAAAAUAAAUUACAAUUGAAUACAUUAGGAGAAAAAUUACUUCUAACCUAUGGAAUUACUAACAACGAUACUUAUACCAAAGCUAAAUUGGACCAACUAACUGUACACUCUUGUAUUAUAUCAACCUACCAGACCUUAGUAUUCACGAGUCUCCCACAGUCUAGACUGAUUCACAAUAUAUACCAACAUUGGAACAAGUUCAGUAAUACACUCUAUUUAUAUAUAUUAUUAUAUACACAAAAAUGCAUGGCUGCUGUGGUAUUACGGAAGGAUCGAGAAUUACUCGAUCCUUGGGAAAAGGUUCAAAUGAAACCUUUAUUAUUACUCUCCGUCCCCCAAAUAAUAUCAUAUCCGAUUUGGGAUAUUACCCCACCACUAAUAAUACUUUAUUUAUUCUAACUUCUCAAUCUUUCACCAUUCUCAAUACUAAUUAUAACACAUUUUCAUCACUUUCAAUACUAAUUAUAAUUUCUUUUCUCCACUGCUAAUACGUACACUUAACAAUUUUUCCUUAAAACCAGUGUCGUCCCCUACUAAGAAGUUAUUUGGGGGACGUAGGGAGUAUUUUUUAAUGAUAUGGCAUCCAAAUAUGUUGUGACAAUCCAGUGAGCAAUAUCAACUUUUUGGAGCUGAAAACCGAUGUGAGGUACAACUAAUACACAAUAUGUUGUGGCAAUCCAGUAAUAUACCCUAAGGAUGCGUCAUCUUUUGUUGUAAAUUUAUCAUGGAAAAAUGAGGGAUAAACAAAAUUUCACCCAUUAAAUCCUUCAUUUUUUCCCUCAUUUCUUACAAAAUAGAAUUUGACCCUUACUCAUUUCUCAUUUUCACUGCAAAGGGGGGCUAAUAUUAUCUCUCUAUUUUUGGUAUAAUGAAGAAUUUGAUACGUAAUUACAAUUAAUUAUAAUGAAGUGUGUAUUUUAGUUGCUCAUAUUCUUGGAUUAUUUAUGCUUUAAUGAAACGAUCCACUGCCUUUAACAUUUUGGCAUUUUAAAGUAAACGCCGAAAUGCAACGAUCCACUGCCUUUUAAGUAAACACCCUUGCUAACCCCUGCAUGCGUUUUUUCAUCAAACACUUGGGUUCAUUCUUUUAGGCAUUUUAUCAAACAGUUGUGCUCAGCCUCAUCCUUUUGAUCACAUUCCCAUAUCUCUCCUUAUAUGAAACCGCAUUUUCUAUUUCUCAUAUAUUUCCUAUAUAAUAUUUCCAUCAUUUCUAGCUCAACAAUAAUUCUUCUAGCAAAAUUAUCAUUUCAAAUGCACUCUUUUCCUUUUCUACUUUCUCUUCUGCAUAACAGAAAUACUAAUCCACCAUAAAAUAAUCAUAACUUUUUCUUAAUGAUACGAUGAGGGCACAAAGUUGAGAUGAUAAAAUCAUACAUAUUGGCGAAUGUUGCCGCCGGCUUCCUCUGACUUUUGGAUGCUGAGGGGAGGGGUGGCGGUGAAAUACCAGGAGUUGAUGAUGAAUUUGAUGGUUGUUUCCAUGUCCACCUGCCGCAGAGACCGAGAUACGAUUUUAGAAACAAACGGCAAAAUUACAAUUUCACAUAUAAAAAAUAAAAGACAAUUAAUAAAGCGCAUAAUAUUGGUAAGAUGCUUCCAACCAAUAGGUCGGGAUUGUAUAUCGUGUGAGUGUGUUUUUCAUUUUUUAGUAAUAACAUGUCGUGCUCGGGGCUUUUUUCCGUAUCUGCCCCUGCUUCCCGUCGUCGUGCCCGACUCGUCGGUUUUUGUCAUGCGGAGGUAGGUGGUGGCGUCGGUGAAGUUGGCGUCGCCUUCCAAGCGUAGGCCUUCCGAAUGUGGCGGCUUUUGGUAGAAGUCGUAGGUGAAGGAGACUGCAUCGCCGACCGACACGGUGGCGAGGAGGAGGGCGAUGGAGGAGAGGAGAGGAAUUAAGGUUUGGAGAAGGUUGGCCAAUUUGAUUAAAUGUAUUUGGAUGUAGUGGAUGAUGGUGUAUCGAUCUCUUGCUCCUAUUUAUAGUUGUAAAUAUAUAUUAAUAAUGGUAUCAUUCAAUCAUUAUACUUUAGGCCGGCCGGGCCGGAUCCUCUAUUCCAAAUUCUAUGUCUCAUUGUUCAUAUUCACUAUUAAUUUCACUAUUUCAAUAAUUAAAAAAAUUCAUAGAGUUUGGGGCAGAGGAUCCCGUUUGAAUCCCACAUGGAUCCUCUGUCCCAUAACUUAUUGUGUUCCUUCCCAUUAUUAAUCUCGAUAUUAUAUUUCUACUUUGGAGUUAAUUCAUUAUAAACCCAUGAAAGAUCAGACGAAAUUCAUCCAAUAAACAUUUAUAAAUUUAUAUUUAAAUUUUGUUUCGCGGGUAUCUGAUAGAUAAUAGGUAUUCGUGGGUGGCGAAUUUGGGUAGCAUUUGAUAUUCAUAGAUAGUUUCAUGAUUAAAAUCCAAUAUUCAUUUAGUUCACGGGUAUGGUAUGACAGCCACUAUCUGUGUACGUCAUACCUGAUUGCCAGUAUGACAAAUAUAAAAGUUGUGAGAUGCACAGCAGCUUAAUUAUUCAAAUAGAAAUAUCAUCACAUGUGCAUUGAUAUUUCACAAAAUAAAUACUACUACUAAUAAAUACUCCCUCCGUCCACCAAAGAUAUGCCACUUUACUUUCGGUACGAGUUUUAAUAAAAUGUGAGUGAAGUUGGUAGUGGAGUAAGGGUCCCACUUUAAAUGUGAGUGGAAUGGUAUGGACCUUACUACUAAAAAUGGAUGUGGCAUAUUUUUCGUGGACGAACGAGAAAGAAAAUUGUGGCAUAUCUUUGGUGGACGGAGGGAGUAGUACUCAUUGAUAAUGCAUGCCAACACAUGGUUCUUGCAAGUCAUAUAUAUACCUCAUCAGCAAUAUAGUAAAAUGAUGAUUUGACAACCAGAUUAAGACACCAAUUAUUCUUGUCGGGACACAGACAUAUAUGCAUAUAGAAUUAAUAUUAUUUACUAUUUCGUUUAUACACGUGAAUUAUGCUUUGGAUGCAACAUCGCCACGUCUCUUUCAUUUAUACUUCUCUAGUGUAUUGCGGACAAAAUAGUUAGUGUCUUUAAGAAAUUAAAAAUUUUCAAAUACAUAAGAAAGAAUAAUUAAUCUAAUUGGUGCGCCGGCAACUAAAACUUUUUUCAAUUCACUUUAUAUUUUAUAUACUCCCUCCGUCCACGAUUUAAUGCCCCAUUUUAGUGUGGGCACGGAGACUAAGAAAACUGAAAAAGGUGAUGUGAAUGAAAUAUAAGGGUAGUUGACUAAAGUGAUAAAGAUGCUGUGAGUGGGUUCACUAGUGAUAAAGUAUAGGAAAUAUAGAAUAUAAAAAUGAUAAAGGUGUUUUAAGUUGGGUCCAUUAGUGGCAAAGAGUAAUAAAUAUAGAAAAAGAAGAGUAAAAAAGUACAAAAAGCAUAAUAGGGCUUUAAUUUGUGGACAAAAAAUUAAGAGCAAGUAGGGCUUUAAAUUGUGGACGGAGGGAGUAUUUAACAUUACAAGUCAAUUGCUUGCAGAAUUUGAGCUUGUCUCCCGUGAUGGAGACCUCACCAUGCGGCAACCCGUGCCUGCGCCUGCCUUUUUUCUUCCCGUCUUGCUCUAUCCAGAUAUUAUACGUGAUCCAACUCUUUCCAGAUAUUAUACGUAAAUGAUAAUUUUACUAACAAAAAUUACACUUUUUAUCAAUAACAAAUGAAACUAUGCAUACAAAACAGGAGGUAAAUGAUAUUUUUCUUAAUAACAACUGAUACUUUUUCAAUGCAAAUAAUACUUCGCAAAUGAUAUUUUAAUAUAAAAGUAAAUGAUACUUUGUAUAAAAAUAAAUGUUAUAUUACAAAUGACACUUUUAAUGCAUACCAAUGACACUUUUAAUAACAAAAAUUGAGAAAAAAAAAUUAGAAUUCGGCCUUAAUUAAAAUUUGGACAACAUUUAUUUGGGCAAAGAAGAAAAACACCUGAAUUUUUUUUUUUCCUUUUUUGAGAGAGAAAAACUCAUGAAAUUUCAUGCAAAAGGUAAUGCAUAGCCAACCGGGCUCAAUCAUCUUUCGGCGGUUUUGGUUUGAUUCUUCCAACAUCUAGGGUAGCAUUCACACAAAAUCAACUCGUGUUCAAAAAUCUGAAAUUAAAAUUAACGAUGUGUCUCAGUAUAGAGAUAAGAACAUACCCCUCAAAUGGUUCGAGCCAAGGUCUAAUUCCUUCAGCAGUGUGAUAUUCCAAAUUUGAGUAGGCAUAUAUCCGCCAAAGUUGUUGUCUGACAAGCGAAUACUCUCAAGUUGUGGACAUUGGUACAAACUCGAUGGUAUAUCUCCUUCCAAAUUGUUAAAGGAUAGGUUCACUAGUUUAAGUCUUUGAAGGUUAUUGUACGUGCNUAGACAACAAGAAAUAUCUAUUGUCUAUUCUAUGACAAAAAAAUUAAAAAAUUCUAAUAUAUCUGCAUCCCUGUAUUACAAUACCAAUAUAUAUGAAAAAAUAAAAAUAAUUAAAAAUCAAAUAAUCAAACAAUACUUAUAAACCACUAAUACUCACAAUCAAAUAUUUACACAUCAGUGUAAAUAUUGGGUUCGAGUCCUCUGCGUGUGUUGAUCAAGCGGUAAGGGGUUAAUGCCUAAGGUCAAAGGUCUGGGAUUCGAGUCCCCUGUGGUGUAGCCUUUUAAUUUCGUUAUUUAAUAUUGUAAAUUUAUAAAAAAAAAAAAGUAUAUUUACACAUCAACAAUUGUAUUAUCUUUAAUACGCCUUCAUUCAUCUAAUAAAAAAAAUCUCUAAUAAAAUCUCCAACUAACUCCGGUCAUGAUCAUCUCUUGAAGGCGGAGGAAGGUGGAGUCCGUCGGGAAAUGGGUACUGCCUUGAUAGAUGAGAUCUUUCGGCUGGUCGCCCCAGAAGUCGUAGGUGAAGGACGUCGUUUGGGACAACGCCGUGUUGGAAACGGAGAGGAGGAGGACGAUGGAGGAGAGGAGAGGAGUUAAGGUUUGAAGAAGCUGGUUGGCCAUGGCUUAAUUGAUUUAGAUUUAGAGAUGUGGUGGAUGAUGGUGGUAUCGAUCUCUUGCACCUAUUUAUACUAGUAUGGUUCAUGCCUGUUAAUAAUUGUAUAUAUCAAUCAUCGUGCAUCUAUCCCAAAUUAUAUGUCUUAUUAUUCACUAAUUAGAUGGAUUAAAUCCUGAUUAGUAACCAUAAAAUUAAACUGUCAAUGAGGCCUUGCUCUAGUGGCAAAGCUGUGACACCGAAUAACUUUUCUUUGUGAAAUGUCUUGGGUUCAAUCUCGCCUGCAUGCGGUGAUGUGUGUCCAUUUUAGGUGGUGUGGUAUUCUUGUCUGCGUGCGGUGUUGUAUUGUUUAGUGUUGAGGUCCCACAUGCAGAGCGUUCUUGCCUGUGUACGUGUCACAGCCCAAAACCAUUUAUUUUCUUUACAAAUUUUAUAUAUGAAAAUUAUUUAAUUUUUAAGUUAUAGAGUUUUUGAAAUAUAUAUAGUAUCAAUUUUAUGUUAACUUAGUCGUGUCCCUAAUUAAAAGAAUGACUUUAAAAUAAAACUUAAGCCUUAAAAAUUUAAUCUACAUUCAUAUAUAACUGAAAUUACAUGCAUGUCUAAAUAUUAUUUAUAAUUAUCAAUAACAAGAUUAAUGAUUCUAUAUCUCUAUGUUUAUACAUGUAUUCACGUAUGACAUAGUAUAUAUUAGCUAUUAAGUUAAAAACUAAUAAAAUACUACACUUUUGCAUAGGAUAUAUAUUUAAUUAGUAGUAGGAUAGGACACGUGUAUUAAUUUUAAGGGCAAGUAAUCAAACUUUUGAAUGAUUCAUCAUGCUUAAAAAAAAAAGAGACCUAGAUAGAUGAUUCAUCAGAUUCAAAAACAAGUAUAAAUAGACUUCGGGUUUGAAAUUUUAAUUAAUUUGCAACAACAAUUCAAACUGACUGUAUUAAGGUAAGUAGUUACAGAUUUCAUACACAUAUUAUAUGAUUUCGCACACAUAUUAAGGUAAGUAUAUAUAAAUAUUUUUUAAAAUCAUAUAUUAUAUAAUAAUUAUAUUUAAGUUUUAUAUUAUUCUUUAUAAACUAUUGUUUCAUUCUAUAUAAUUAGGUGUGGCACGACUAGGACGUAACUUUCUAUUGAAUUUCUCAAGUUAAUCUUAGAGUUCAAGUUUCAGGUGUGAGAUUUAUUUAAAUACAUGUCGUACGUGGUUAUUUAUUGUCCAUUUUAAUAAGAUGUGUUUACCAUAUGUGUUAUGACGCAUAUUUUUAGGAUAUCACUAGGUGCCCAUAAAUAGGAUCCAGGACUUCACCGUCCUUGGAUUGCCACAAUGCGAUUUGAGGUUUAUUUUGAGGAUGUCGUUAGGGGCCCGUACAUAGGGUCCAGGACUUUAAUAGUCAUUGGGUUGCCAUAGUGCAAAUAUUGAGGAUAUAUAUGAAGUGACCGUAUGUGUUACCGUUUCAUUAACGUGGACAAUGAUUGCAUGUUUAAGAGACAAUAACCAAUUUUUCAGACAUUUGUGAACAAAAUGAAGCAUGUUUAGAGAUCCUUAAUACAGGUGUACGAAAUGAUGGAUAAAUAAGUUUGUGAAACAAAUUUCACCAUACCUAACCCCACAAUUAUUUGCGGUCGAAUUUCCUCGUCACAGGAAAAAGAGAUGAUGACAAAAGGGAAAAAAUUAAUUAACAAAGUAGAAGAUGCAUGACAACUGUAAAAGAAAAAUAAUGCUACUAAUUAAAUAGUCCAAACUUCAUACGUUUCAUAUCAUAAGUGGCAGUUCUAUUUUUUUUUUUGCGAAUGUGAACAAAAUAACGAAUAAUUUUUAAAGUAAUAGUAAUAAGGAGAUGUGUUUUGACAGAAAACGACAUGAGCGGCCUAAAAAUAAGAGGGAAAAAGAUAAUCAUAUAAAUAUUCAAAAUCAAACGGAUUGGCAUGUAUUCAUCAUUUUUUAUUUUUUAUUUUGAUAAUUUAACAGUACUCCCUCCGUCCGUCAAAAGUAGACCACUUUGGUUGGGCACGGGAUUUAAUAAAAUUAGUGAUGAUUUUGAUGUAGUAGAGAAAGAGUUCCACCACUUUAUGAGAUGUGUGGUUGAGAUUGAAUUUGUUGUGAUUUUUUUGUAAAUAAAGAGUGUUUGUAAGGAUAAAAGAUUAAAGUGGGUGGUGGGACCAUUUCCAUAAAAGGAAAGUGGUCUACUAUUUGCGGACGCCCAAUAUAGUAAAAGUAGUCUACUUUUGGCGGACGGGGAGAGUAUUAAAUAAAUAAAUUUAAAGGUUGCACCCCUUACUGCUUGGCUUUUAGAUUAUGUUAUAAUAAUAAAAUUAACAGCACGUUUACAAUAUAAAAUUAAUUAUGAUAAAUACAAUAUAUUAAUAAUAAAUACUCAAUUACCUCUUAACAUAAUUCGCGCAUCAUGGCUUUUAGCUUAUAUUAUAAAGAUAUAAUAUGUUGUCUAUAAUAAUCGACGGAAGGUAAUAGACAACAUGUUUUAUAUGUUGUCUAUAAUAAUAUAGACAGUAGAUCUAGUGUUAUAGAUAACAAUUAAUACUUGUUGUCUAUAUGAUGAUAGACACCAAAAAUCUCUGUUGUCUAUUCUAUGACAAAAAAAUUUAAAAAAAUUCUAAUAUAUUUACAUCCCUGUAUUACAAUACCAAUAUAUAUGAAAAAAUAAAAAUAAUUAAAAAUCAAAUAAUCAAACAAUACUUAUAAACCACUAAUACUCACAAUCAAAUAUUUACACAUCAACAACUGUAUUAUCUUUAAUUACGCCUUCAUUUAUCUAUUAAAAAAAAUCUCUAAUAAAAUCUCUAACUAACUCCGGUCAUCAUCUCUUGAAGGCUUAGAAAAUGUCCAAAUACAGCGGCACAUGCUCAUUAUUGUGUGAGCGAUGAGAACUUUGCGCUGAACCUAUAAAGUAACUAUACUUAACUGGUAAAGUAAUUGUAUCCCGUGAAUCUAAAGGAAGACUACACACGUUGAUAGAGUUUGAAAGAAAAGAAUAAAGAGAAUGAAAAUCCAAAGAAUUUGCUUCUUCCGUUGAACAAUCCCUACACAACAUUGAAAUAUCAAUGAAAAUAAUGGCUAUCGUAUACUCCCUCCAUCCAUGAAAGAACUUCAUAGGAGGGAGUGACACGGGUUUUAAGAAAAAAUAUUGUUAAGUGUAUUGAGAGUGGAUAAAAGGUAGUUGAGUGUAUUGGGAGUGGUGAAAAUGUGUUAUAGUUAAUAUUGAGAGUUGUGAAAAGUGAAAAGUAAGAGGAUUAUAAGUGGUGGGGUAUAGUCCAAAAAUAGGUAGGAAGUUCUUUUGUGGACGUCCCAAAAAGGAAAGAUAUGAAGUUCUUUCGUGGACGGAGGGAGUAUUAUUUUGCAGCAGCAACCACGUUUGAAAACUCGAUCCCUCUGUUCUUGAAUUUGUGAAAUUUCCGACUGAUUUAUUAGAUUCACCAUUUAUUUCAGUUUAAUUAGUCUAUAUAUAGAUAUUUCUUAUAUUAUUAAAUUGUUAACCUCAUGGUAGAUUUCAAGAUUUGAAAAUUCAACAAAGAGCUUGAGAAUUAUUGAGAUUGGAAGGGGAAGAUGAAACAUAAUUGGGUGAAAUUAGAAACCAAUUAAAGUCACAAGAUUGAACAAAAACAUAACUUAAAAACACAAAAUAAGCAAAUCGUAGAUGCAGUAUCUUGCAAGAAAAAGUUCAUAUUCCCAAGGCUAUGAUGAGCACGAAUUAGGGUGUGUCUGCAUUUUAUCCCUCUAAAUAGAGGAAUAACAAAAUUUUAUUCUUUAAAUGUUUGCUUUCUUAUCACACAUUCUACACAAACACCAUUUUUUCUUCCUUAUUUUCACUUCAAGGAGGANUAAUAUUAUCCCUCCAAUUUUGGUGUGAUAAUAUUAUCUCUUCUUGAAGUGAAAAUAAGGAAGAAAAAAUGGUAUUUGUGUAGGAUGUGGGAUAAGAAAGCAAACAUUUAAAGGUAUAAAUUUUUGUUAUUCCUCAUUUAGAGGAAUAAAAAGCAAACACACAUUAGAGUCUACUUACAAUUUAGGCGCAGGCUGUGCGAGAAUUACUUAGUCGAAUAGGAUCCUAAGUAUUUAUAUUUCUCAUGUUCUUGUGUAUUUUUUUACUGAUUCACUAUUGGAUUAACAAGAAUUAUCUUACUUUAAAUUUCUUGCUUUAAAAAAAAAAAAGAAUUAUCUUACUUCAUGUAUGGUAUGCCAACUGUUCGAUAAAGGUCCUUUUAGAAAUCUUCUAUUGAUUACCUUGCGAAGACCACAAAACUAGACACACCCAAAAGCAUUCUUGCAUAGUUUAUACAUAGAGAUGGCCGAUUGAUGAUCGUCUUAUUUGUAGACUUAACGCGAGCAGACUCGAUCGCUUAGUCCUUAUUGAUUUACGACACACAUGCUCACACACACACAUACACACAUCACAAAAUCACACAAAUUGACGGAUAAUGUUGCCGUUCAGCUCCUUCCUGAACCUCACCGCGGCAUUUUUCUGCACCAUAGUGGCCGUGAAAUACCACGAGACGAUGUCAUGGACGGCGACGUGUUGUCCGGUGGCGGCGGAUAGCCCGACCUGAACCUGCUGAGGAACAAAGUCGCUCAAAUCGUACUCAUAGUUGACAUCAAAUGUCUGCGAGCCGGCGGUGACUUUCACGGAGAUCAUCCUUGUGGCUCCGACGUAGUUGAUCCGCGCAGUCACCUGCUGCCCGAGUAUGGAGUUGUCGACCUUCGUCGUGUUGCUGGAUGCCCUAGAGCCGAAGUCGAUGCCGAUGUGGGGAUAGAGCGGAUCCCACGCGCCGUUGACGUAGGUGUCGAUUUCGACGGCGAAGACCGAGGGGCUGUUGCCGUUGGAGCCAAAGAUUCCGAGGUUGGCUCCGUUGGAGCCAGGGGGGAUGGUGGAACCGACGGGGGCAAUGAAGAAGGCGAGGCCGUCGGCAGGCUCGUUGUCGGCGCCCGGGGUGAUGAUGAAGUUCACAGUGGUUUCGAAGUCGACCUGCCCACCGGACUGCGAGAAUUGGACCGGGUUCGAGUGCAAGACGCGGCCGACUUGUGAGGGCUGUGCGUCUGUGAGGCGGAGGAAGGUGGAGUCCGUCGGGAAAUGGGCGCUGCCUUGAUAGAUGAGAUCUUUCGGCUGGUCGCCCCAGAAGUCGUAGGUGAAGGACGUCGUUUGGGACAACGCCGUGUUGGAAACGGCGAGGAGGAGGGCGAUGGAGGCGAGGAGAGGAGUUAAGGUUUGAACAAGCUGGUUGGCCAUGGCUUAAUUGAUUUAGAUUUAGAUUUAGAGAUGUGGUGGAUGAUGGUGGCCAGGUAUCGAUCUCUUGCACCUAUUUAUACUAGUAUGGUUCAUGCCUGUUAAUAAUUGUAUAUAUCAAUCAAUCAUCGUGCAUCUAUCCCAAAUUAUAUGUCUUAUUAUUCACUAAUUAGAUGGAAUAAAUCCUAAUUAGCAAUCUUAAAAUUACACCGCCAAUGAGGCCUUGCUCUAGUGGUAAAGCUGUGGCACCGAAUAACUUUUCUUUGUGAAAGGUCUUGGGUUCAAUCUCGCCUGCAUGCGGUGAUGUUUGUCCAUUUUAGAUGGUGUGGUAUUCUUGCCUGCGUGCGGUGUUGUAUUAUUUAGUCUUAGGCGUUCUUGCCUGUGUGCAUAUCACUGUGUGACAAUUAAAAGAAUGACUUUAAAAUAAAAGUUAAGCCUUAAAAAUUUAAUCUACAUUCAUAUAUAACUGAAAUUACAUGCAUGUCUAAUUUUUUUAAUAUCAUAACAAGAUAAGAUUUAUUAAAUAAUUCAGAUGCAUAAAUAAAAAGUUAAUCUAUAAACACAGUAUAGAUAUAUUAUCAAUGAUAGGCCGUGUAUAAGUCUUAAUCUGUAAAACUAUAUCAUCCCAGCCUUAAACGACUACCAUUCCUGCUUUCCCAGAGCAACCACACUGUUCCCACCCACAAAGCUUUAAGCAGUACAUGCAUGUCUAAAUAUUAUUUAUAAUUAUCAAUAACAAGAUUAAUGAUUCUAUAUCUCUAUGUUUAUACAUAUAUUCACGUAUGACAUAGUAUAUAUUAGCUAUUAAGUUAAAAACUAAUAAAAUACUACAGUUUUGCAUAGGAUAUAUAUUUAAUUAGUAGUAGGAUAGGACACGUGUAUUAAUUUUAAGGGCAAGUAAUCAAACUUUUGAAUGAUUCAUCAUGCUUAAAAAAAAAAAGAGACCUAGAUAGAUGAUUCAUCAGAUUCAAAAACAAGUAUAAAUAGACUUCGAGUUUGAAAUUUUAAUUAAUUUGCAACAACAAUUCAAACUGACUGUAUUAAGGUAAGUAGUUACAGAUUUCAUACACAUUAUAUGAUUUCGCGCACAUACGUAUGUAUAUAUAAAUAUUUUUUAAAAUCAUAUACUCCCUCCGUCCCCAAAAUAAGUUCCUCUUUGGGGACGGCACGGAUUUUAAGGAAAAGUGGUAAAGUGUAUUAAUAGUGGAGAAAAAUAUGUUAUAAUUAGUAUUGGAAGUUGUGAAAAGGUGAAAAAGUGUUAUAAUUAGUAUUGGGAGUGGUGAAAAAGUGAAAAGUAAGAAUAAAUAAAGUAUUAUUAGUGGUGGGGUAGUUGUCCAAAAAUGGAAAAAAAGAAAGAGGAACUUAUUUGGGGGACAUCCCAAAAUGGAAAAAGAGGAACUUAUUUCAGGGACGGAGGGAGUAUUAUAUAAUAAUUAUAUUUAAGUUUUAUAUUAUUCUUUAUAAACUAUUGUUCCAUUCUAUAUAAUUAGGUGUGGCACGACUAGGACGUAACUUUCGAUUGAAUUUCUCAAGUUAAUUUUCAAGUUCAAGUUUCAGGUGUGAGAUUUAUUUAAAUACAUGUCAUGAUUAUUCAUUGUCCAUUUUAAUAGUAUGUGUUUACCAUAUGUGUUAUGACGCAUAUUUUGAGGACAUCGCUAGGAGCCCAUAAAUAGGGUCCAGGACUUCACCGUCCUUGGAUUGCCACAAUGCGAUUUGAGGUUUAUUUUGAGGAUGUCGUCAGGGGCCCGUAAAUAGGGUCCAGGACUUUAAUAGUCAUUGGGUUGCCACAGUGCGAAUAUUGAAGAUAUAUAUGAAGUGACCGUAUGUGUUACCGUUUCAUUAACGUGGACAAUGAUUGCAUGUUUAAGAGACAAUAACCAAUUUUUCAGACAUUUGUGAACAAAAUGAAGCAUGUUUAGAGAUCCUUAAUAAAGGUGUACGAAAUGAUGGAUAAAUAAGUUUGUGAAACAAAUUUCACCAUACCUAACCCCACAAUUAUUUGCGGUCGAAUUUCCUCGUCACAGGAAAAAGAGAUGAUGACAAAAGGGCAAAAAUUAAUUAACAAAGUAGAAGAUGCAUGACAACUGUAAAAGAAAAAUAAUGCUACUAAUUAAAUAGUCCAAACUUCAUACGUUUCAUAUCAUAAGUGGCAGUUCUAUUUUUUUUUUGCGAAAGUGAACAAAAUAACGAAUAAUUUUUAAAGUAAUAGUAAUAAGGAGAUGUGUUUUGACAGAAAACGACAUGAGCGGCCUAAAAAUAAGAGGGAAAAAGAUAAUCAUAUAAAUAUGGGUUAAUUGCCUCUAAAUACACCACCUUUCCUUGAAUUCUACAAUUGCACAUCACCUUUAAAAUCCGCCCUUAAAUACACCACCUUUCCUUGAGUUCUACAAUUGCACAUCACCUUUAAAUCCGCCCCAAAAUACAUCAUCUUUAUAUUUUUUCUGUUUUUGCACAUGACUAAAAAAUUCUCAAGAAAUAAAUUAAAGUGUUAAUUUAUAAAUUUAAAUAUCUUUUUAGCAGCGAAAACAUAAUAAAAUAAAAUUCUUUAUAAAGUUUAAAAUCAUAUAUAUAUAUAUAUAUAUAUAAGUAUUUUCGUAAAGAAAUAAAUUCUCUAAUAAAUUUUUAGAAAGAACUUGAAUUAAAAAAAUAAACAAGUCAUGACAUUAAGAAAAUAAAAUGAAAUUUUUAUUUUAAUAAAUUUCACACGAAUUCGAUAUAAUUUGGAAUUUAGAGUUACAAUAAUCAGAAGUACCACAUGAAUAAUAUAAUGAGUUUGAAAGAAAUUUUUUUUAAAGAGGUUCGACACGCCCAUUCGACUUUCCACGCGCCUCCAAUGUCAUUUACCUGAAAUAUUAANUAUAUAAGUAUUUUUCGUAAAGAAAUAAAUUCUCUAAUAAAUUUUUAGAAAGAACUUGAUUAAAAAAUAAACAAGACAUGACAUUAAGAAAAUAAAAUGAAACUUUUAUUUUAAUAAAUUUCACACGAAUUCGAUAUAAUUUGGAAUUUAGAGUUACAAUAAUAAAAAGAACCACAUAAAUAAUAUAAUCAGUUUGAAAGAAAUAUAUAUAUAUUUUUUUAAAGAGGUUCGACGCGCCCAUUCGACUCUCCACGCGCUACCAAUGUCAUUACCUGAAAUACUAAAUAUGGGAUAAGCAUACAUAAUAUACUUAGUGUGGGAACAUGCAAUUAUUGUCCACGUUAAUAAAAUAGUAACACAUACGAUCAUAACAUUCAAAACGACACAAUUUUGCCAAUAUGGAAGCCACGUCAUUUAAAGUGGUAACACCCUAAUCUAACUAAAGUGUUAAAUAUAAAUUUAAAGCGGAAAUAUAAUAAAAUAAAGUUCUUUAUAAAAAUAAAUAAAGAAUUUUAUUUUAUUAUAUUUCCGCUGCUAAAAAAGAUAUUUAAAAUUUAUAAAUUAACACUUUAAUUUAUUUCUUGAGGAUUUUUAAGUCAUGUGCAAAAACAGAAAAAAAAUAUAAAGGUGAUGUAUUUUGGGGCGGAUUUAGAAUUCAAGGAAAUGUGGUGUAUUUAGGGGCGGAUUUUAAAGGUGAUGUGCAAUUGUAGAAUUCAAGGAAAGGUGGUGUAUUUAGGGGAAAUUAACCCUAUAAAUAUUCAAAAUCAAACGGAUUGGCAUGUAUUCAUCAUUUUUUAUUUUUUAUUUUGAUAAUUUAACAGUAUUAAAUAAAGAAAUUUAUAGGCUGCGUCCCUUACUGCUUGGCUUUUAGAUUAUGUUGUAAUAAUAAAAUUAAAAGCACGUUUACAAUAUAAAAUUAAUUAUGAUAAAUACAAUAUAUUAAUAAUAAAUACUCAAUUACCUCUUAACAUAAUUCGCGCAUCAUGGCUUUUAGCUUAUAUUAUAAAGAUAUAAUAUGUUGUCUAUAAUAAUCGACGGAAGGUAAUAGACAACAUGUUUUACUUCUUGUCUAUAAUAAUAUAGACAGUAGAUCUAGUGUUAUAGAUAACAAUUAAUACGUGUUGUCUAUAUGAUGAUAGACACCAAAAAUCUCUGUUGUCUAUUCUAUGACAAAAAAAUUUAAAAAAAUUCUAAUAUAUUUACAUCCCUGUAUUACAAUACCAAUAUAUAUGAAAAAAUAAAAAUAAUUAAAAAUCAAAUAAUCAAACAAUACUUAUAAACCACUAAUACUCACAAUCAAAUAUUUACACAUCAACAAUUGUAUUAUCUUUAAUUACGCCUUCAUUUAUCUACUAAAAAAAAUCUCUAAUAAAAUCUCUAACUAACUCCGGUCAUCAUCUCUUGAAGGCUUAGAAAAUGUCCAAAUACAGCGGCACAUGCUCAUUAUUGUGUGAGCGAUGAGAACUUUGCGCUGAACCUAUAAAGUAACUAUACUUAACUGGUAAAGUAAUUGUAUCCCGUGAAUCUAAAGGAAGAAUAAACACGUUGAUAGAGUUUGAAAGAAAAGAAUAAAGAGAAUGAAAAUCCAAAGAAUUUGCUUCUUCCGUUGAACAAUCCCUACACAACGUUGAAAUAUCAAUGAAAACAAUGGCUAUCCUAUACUCCCUCCAUCCAUGAAAGAACUUCCUAGGAGGGAGUGACACGGGUUUUAAGAAAAAAUAUUGUUAAGUGUAUUGAGAGUGGAUAAAAGGUAGUUGAGUGUAUUGGGAGUGGUGAAAAUGUGUUAUAGUUAAUAUUGAGAGUUGUGAAAAGUGAAAAGUAAGAGGAUUAUAAGUGGUGGGGUAUAGUCCAAAAAUAGGUAGGAAGUUCUUUUGUGGACGUCCCAAAAAGGAAAGAUAUGAAGUUCUUUCGUGGACGGAGGGAGUAUUAUUUUGCAGCAGCAACCACGUUUAAAAACUCGAUCCCUCUAUUCUUGAAUUUGUGAAAUUUCCGACUGAUUUAUUAGAUUCACCAUUUAUUUCAGUUUAAUUAGUCUAUAUAUAGAUAUUUCUUAUAUUAUUAAAUUGUUAACCUCAUGGUAGAUUUCAAGAUUUGAAAAUUCAACAAAGAGCUUGAGAAUUAUAGAGAUUGGAAGGGGAAGAUGAAACAUAGUUGGGUGAAAUUAGAAACCAAUUAAAGUCAGGAGAUUGAAGAAAAACAUAACUUAAAAACACAAAAUAAGCAAAUCGUAGAUGCAGUAUCUUGCAAGAAAAAGUUCAUAUUCCCAAGGCUAUGAUGAGCACGAAUUAGGGUGUGUCUGCAUUUUAUCCCUCUAAAUGGAGGAAUAAUAAAAUUUUAUGCCUUUAAAUGUUUGCUUUCUUAUCACACAUUCUAAACAAACACCAUUUUUUCUUCCUUAUUUUCACUUCAAUGAGGGAUAAUAUUAUCCCUCCAAUUUUGGUGUGAUAAUAUUAUCCCUCCUACAAGUGAAAAUAAGGAAGAAAAAAUGGUACUCCCUUCGUCCCAAACGAAAUGUCCUGUUUUCCUUUUUGGGCUGUCCCAAACGAAAUGUCCUGUUUCCUUUUUUGGCAAUACACUCUCUCUCUAUACUUAAUAUUUAAAUAAUUUUCACCAACCCACUUUAUCUACUUUAUACACAUUUCUUAAUCUCCGUGCCGAAAAGAAAUGGGACAUUUCGUUUGGGACGGAGGGAGUAUUUGUGUAGGAUGUGGGAUAAGAAAACAAACAUUUAAAGACAUAAAUUUUUGUUAUUCCUCCAUUUAGAGGGAUAAAAAGCAAACACACCUUAGAGUCUAAUUACAAUUUAGGCGCAGGCUGUGUGAGAAUUACUUAGUCGAAUAGGAUCCUUAGUAUUUAUAUUUCUCAUGUUCUUGUGUAUUUUUUCACUGAUUCACUAUUGGAUUAACAAGAAUUAUCUUACUUUAAAAAAAAAAAAGAAAUGAUCUUACUUCAUGUAUGGUAUGCCAACUGUUCGAUAAAGGUCCUUUUAGAAAUAUUCCAUAGAUUACCUUGCAAAGACCACAAAACUAGACACACCCUGCAUAGUUUAUACAUAGGGAUGGCCGAUUGAUGAUCGUCUUAUUUGUAGACUUAACGAGAGCAGACUCGAUCGCUUAGUCCUUACUGAUUUACGACACACAUGCACACAUACACAGAUACACACAUCACAAAAUCACGCAAAUUGACGGAUAAUGUUGCCGGCCAGCUCCUUCCUGCUCCACGCCACGGCAUUUUUCUGCACCAUGGUGGCCGUGAAAUACCACGAGACGAUGUCAUGGGUGGCGACGUGUUGUCCGGUGGCGGCGGAUAGCCCGACCUGAACCUCCUGAGCAACAAAGUAGCUCAAAUCGUACUCAUAGCUGACAUCAAACGUCUGAUUGCCGGCGGUGACUUUGACGGAGAUCAUCCUUGUGGCUCCGACGUAGUUGAUCCGCGCAGUUACCUGCUGCUUGAGUAUGGAGCUGUCGACCGGCGUCGUCUUGCUGGAUACCCUAGAGCCGAAGUCGAUGCCGAUGUGGGGAUAGAGCGGAUCCCACGCGCCGUUGACGUAGGUGUCGAUUUCAACGGCGAAGACCCCGGGGCUGUUGCCGUUGGAGCCAAAGAUUCCGAGAUUGGCUCCGUCGGAGCCAGGGGGGAUGGUGGAGUCGACGGGGGCAAUGAAGAAGGCGAGGCCGUCGGCAGGCUCGUUGUCGGCGCCGGGGGUGAUGAUGAAGUUCACGGUGGUUUCGAAGUCGACCUGCCCAUUGGACAUCCAGAAUUGGACCGGUUCCGAGUACAUGACGCGGCCGACUUGGGACGGUUGUGCGUCUGUGAGGCGGAGGAAGGUGGAGUCCGUCGGGAAAUGGGCGUUGCCUUGAUAGAUGAGAUCUUUCGGCUGGUCGCCCCAGAAGUCGAAGGUGAACGACGUCGUUUGGGACAACGCCGUGUUGGAAACGGCGAGGAGGAGGGCGAUGGAGGCGAGGAGAGGAGUUAAGUUGGCCAUGGCUUAAUAGAUUUAGAUUUAGAGAUGUGGUGGAUGAUGGUGGUAUCGAUCUGUUGCACCUAUUUAUACUAGUAUGGUUCAUGCCUGAUAAUAAUUGUAUCAAUCAAUCAUCGUGCAUCUAUCCCAAAUUAUAUGUCUUAUUAUUCACUAAUUAGAUGGAAUAAAUCCUAAUUUGCAAUCUUAAAAUUAAACCGCCAAUGAGGCCUUGCUCUAGUAGCAAAGCUGUGGCACCCAAUAACUUUUCUUUGUGAAAGGUCUUGGGUUCAAUCUCGCCUGCAUGCGGUGAUGUUUGCCCACUUUAGGUGGUGUGGUAUUCUCGCCUGCGUGCGGUGUUAUAUUGUUUAGUGUUAAGGUCCCACAUGCAGGGCGUUCUUGCAUGUGUGCGUGUCACAACCCAAAACCAUUUAUUUUCUUUACAAAUUUUAUAUGAAAAUUAUUUGAUUUUUAAGUUAUAGAGUUUUCGAUAUAUAUACAUAUAGUGUCAAUUUUAUGUUAACUUAGUCGUGUCCCUAAUUAAAAGAAUGAAUUUGAAAUAAAAGUUAAGCCUUAAAAAUUUAAUCUACAUUCAUAUAUAACUGAAAUUACAUGCAUGUCUAAAUAUUAUUUAUAAUUAUCAAUAACGGGAUUAAUGAUUCUAUAUCUCUAUGUUUAUACAUAUAUUCACGUAUGACAUAGUAUAUAUUAGCUAUUAAGUUAAAUAAAAUACUACAGUUUUGCAUAGGAUAUAUAUUUAAUUAGUAGUAGGAUAGGACACGUGUAUUAAUUUUAAGGGCAAGUAAUCAAACUUUUGAAUGAUUCAUCAUGCUUAAAAAAAAGAGACCUAGAUAGAUGAUUCAUCAGAUUCAAAAACAAGUAUAAAUAGACUUCGAGUUUGAAAUUUUAAUUAAUUUGCAACAACCAUUCAAACUGACUGUAUUAAGGUAAGUAGUUACAGAUUUCAUACACAUUAUAUGAUUUCGCGCACAUACGUAUGUAUAUAUAAAUAUUUUUUAAAAUCAUAUAUUAUAUAAUAAUUAUAUUUAAGUUUUAUAUUAUUCUUUAUAAACUAUUGUUCCAUUCUAUAUAAUUAGGUGUGGCAUGACUAGGACGUAACUUUCGAUUGAAUUUCUCAAGUUAAUCUUCAAGUUCAAGUUUCAGGUGUGGGAUUUAUUUAAAUACAUGUCGUGGUUAUUUAUUAUCCAUUUUAAUAAUAUGUGUUUACCAUAUGUGUUAUGAUGCAUAUUUUGAGGAUAUCGCUAGGGGCCCAUAAAUAGGGUCCAGGACUUCACCGUCCUUGGAUUGCCACAAUGCAAUUUGAGGUUUAUUUUGAGGAUGUCGUCAGGGAUCCGUAAAUAGGGUCCAGGACUUUAAUAGUCCUUGGGUUGCCACAGUGCGAAUAUAUUGAGGAUAUAUAUGAAGUGACCGUAUGUGUUACCGUUUCAUUAACGUGGACAAUGAUUGCUUGUUCUCACACUGAGUGUACUCUGUAUGCUCAUCCCAUAUUUAACGUGGAAGGUCGAUUGACGAAUCAAAUAUUUUGUAUUUAGCUUUACCUAAAUAUGUUAUUUUGAGUAAAGUAUUUUAAAUAAAAAUUUAUUUCAUAAUUUUCUCAUUAAAUAUUUAUUUAUAUUCAUAGCUUUUCCGCACAAAUAUUUAUUUAAAUUUUAAUUAGAUUUGGGUGUCACUGUGCGGUGAUGUUUUUCCACCGUUUCGGUGGUGGUGAGGCCCCACCUGCGUGCACGUUAUAUACUUGAUUAUAUUCAGAUACCUCUUGUAAUUUUUAAAAAAAUAAUCAUAAAAUUAAACCAAAGCAUAUAAAAUUGAAAUUGGCCAAAAAAAUAUAUAAAAAUAAAUAAAAUUAAAAAUGGGAUAUAAAGUGAGACAUUAAAUGUGGUACACUACUGAAUCUCAAUCCAACACGUGGAUGCUACAUUGUACUUGUCGGAAUAUUAGAACUUCUACAAAAUAUUGCUAUUGGAAACGUGAAAUUUUAUUAUGAGAAAACUUAUACCUGACCCCACAGUCGUGGGCACGUGUUAUGUUGCGCGGAAAUUAAAGUGGUGGGGACCGUAAAUGGUAUUUUAGUCUUUUAAUUUAUUUUAGUAUACAAAAGAGUUAAUUUUAAAGAGGCGCUAAAAAACACAUCACUUUUAAAAAUUGGUAUUUAAAAUCUUGAACCCCUUUUAUUAUUUUAGAAAGAUAUUAAUUAAUUGAUAAAUUAAUAAAUUAUUAAUUGAAACAAUUAUUUUAAGCAAAUUUAAUUAUAAUUACCUAAAAAUUUAAAAAACAUAAAUUCAAUACCAUUCAAAUUCAACAAACUAACUUAAAUUUUUACUUUAAAAAAUCUUCAUCAAUCUUGCAAUCUCGGCUUGGACUAUAAAUGUUCAACAAGAGACAAUAACCAAUUUUUCAGACAUUUGUGAACAAAAUGAAGCAUGUUUAGAGAUCCUUAAUAAAGGUGUACGAAAUGAUGGAUAAAUAAGUUUGUGAAAAUUUCACCAUACCUAACCCCACAAUUAUUUGCGAUCGAAUAUCCUCGUCACAGGAAAAAGAGAUGAUGACAAAAGGGAAAAAAAAAUUAACAAAGUAGAAGAUGCAUGACAACUGUCAAGAUAAAUAAUGUUACUAAUUAAAUAAUCCAAACUUUAUACGUUUCAUAUCAUAAGUGGCAGUUCUAUAUUUUUUGCGAAAGUGAACAAAAUAACGAAUAAUUUUUAAAGUAAUAGUAAAAGGAGAUGUGUUUUGACAGAAAACGACAUGAGCGGCCUAAAAAUAAGAGGGAAAAAGAUAAUCAUAUAAAUAUUCAAAAUCAAACGGAUUGGCAUGUAUUCAUCAUUUUUUAUUUUAAUAAUUUAACAGUAUUAAAUCAAGAAAUUUAAAGACCGCGCCCCUUACUGCUUGGCUUUAAGAUUAUGUUACAAUAAUAAAAUUAACAGCACGUUUACAAUAUAAAAUUAAUUAUGAUAAAUGCAAUAUAUUAAUAAUAAAUACUCAAUUACCUCUUAACAUAAUUCGCGCAUCAUGGCUUUUAGCUUAUGUUAUAAAGAUGGAGUAUAAAAUAAUCAUCACCUGUGCAUGAUAUUUCACAAAAUAAUUAAAUAAUAAAAUAAUCAAUCAUAAUGCCAAGACGUGACUCUUGUCGGUCAUAUCUCAUCAACUUUAUCUAUAUAGUACAAUGAUGAUUAAUUUGAGAACGACGAUUAAGACACCAACUAUUCUUGUGGGGACACAUGCAUAUAUAGAAUUAAUAUUAUAAACUCUCUCGGUCCACGAAAUAACUUACUAUUUUUUCUUUUAAGAACGUGAACAAAAAAAAUUCCCAUCGAUAUUUCGGAACUAUACCCCACUACUUUAAAAUACCUCAUUUUACCCUUUCUUUUUCACAAAAACAACAAAUUACUAAUAAUUUUUCACUAUUCCUAAUAUACUGAACAAUUUUUCUCCACUCUCAAAUUUUGUAGCACCGAAUAAAAUUAAAUACUAGUAUUAUUUUUUGUAGAACUAUAAAUAAAUAUUAUUCUCAAAACAUGUACUAUUACUUACUAUUUUUUUUAAAUGUGGGACGACCAAAAAAGGAAAGAUGAAUUCUAAAAGCUGGGACAGAGGAUAUAUUAUUUUUCUUCUUGGUUCUGAAGUAUGAAUAUUAAUUAACAAUUCUUCGUCCACAUCAAGCUCACCUUCACGUAAUUUUUUCUUGAACAACACCGAAAAAUAUAUAAUCCCAACAUAGCAUGAUCAAUCUCAAUGCACCAAACAUAAAUUAGUUUUAAAAUAAUAAUAAGAUUAACUACUAUAUUGCUGAAUUAUGCAGUAGAAUUAAAAGCGUGAUUUUUUUUUAAUAGAGCAGGUUAAUCUAGGCCUACCUGAACCAUCUGACUAUGCAUGAGUUUGAUUUUUCUUCUUGAUCUUUUUUAAUUUUACCGACAAAGAAGAUUUUCACAAAUGAAAAGAAAACGUUCUAGUAACAUACUACAUGCUUACUUCAGAUUUGCAACCAAGUCUAUUGAGGGUUUUAUUUGCUACAUAUAUAAACACAAGGAUUUGGUUUGAUACAAAUUAAGAAUAUUCAACUUUCAUCGGCUCAAGCACAUAGAAUCUCCCCGAGUAGUUAUAACUGGUCAAUGUUUUUGCCGAUAAAAAGGAAAAGGAAAGAAAAAAGAAAGAAGCAAGACGGAGAAAAAGUUGUAGUAAAUGAUUAUGCGAUGAAAAGAAAAUGGAAAAGAGAAAGAAAGAAGAAAGUUGUAGGAAUUUUGAAGAAUUUGUACUUAUUUAGAAUUGUGGUUAUUGUGGGAUCUUGUAUAAUAAUAAUAAUAAUAAUAAUAAUAAUAAUAAUAAUUAUUGGGCCGUUCCACGAAUCUUGGCACAUUUUCAAAUAAGGUAAUAAUUCAUUCUCUCUCUUACUUUAUCACUUUAAUACUUUAUUAACUACAAACUUAAAACACUAAUAUACAAUUCCUUAAUUCCCGUGUCGAAACCAAACGUGUCAAGAUUCGUUGGAUGGAGGGAGUAAUAAUAAUAAUAAUAAUAAUAGUAAUAAUAAUAAUAAUAAUAAUAAUAAUACAUCAUUGCCCUUUAAAAAGUUUUAAAAUAGGAACAUAAUAUGUAAAUCUAAUUUUGUAAAAGAAGCUCUUCUAUAGUAAUAGUUAUAGAUUUGGUGUGGAGGCAUUUGUUUGAGAAUGGGUAAAACAUACCAUUAACCCUUUGAUAUAUGCACGAGACACUUAUUUGUGGAUAGGACAAGAAUUAUUUUGUUGCAUAGGAUCCCUUCCAAAUGUAAUUACUGAUUCACAAUUGGAUUAACAAGAAUUAACUUACUUCAUAUUCAGUAUUCCAACUGUUCGAUAAAAGUUCUUAAUGAAAUCUUCCAUAGAUUACCCAAAUGCAUUGUUUUGCAUAGUCCGUACAUUGAGAUGGUCGAGUAUCUUAUGUCUAGACUUAACGAGAGCAGACUCGAUCGCUUAGUCCUUAUUUAUUUACGACACACACACAUCUCAAAAUCACACAAAUUGACGAAUAAUGUUGCCAGCCAGCUCCUUCCUGUUCCACGCGCCAGCAUUUGUCUUCACCAUGGUGGCUGUGAAAUACCAUGAGAUAAUAUCAUGUUUGGCGACGUAUGGUUGGUUUAGUCCGCUGGCGGCGGAGAGCCCUACCUGAACCUGCUCAGGAAGAAACUCGCCCAAAUUGUACACAUGGCUGACCUCAAACGUCUUCGAGCCGGCGGUGGCACUGACGGUGAUCAUCUUCGUGGCUCCGACGUAGUUGAUCCGCGCAGUCACCUGCUGUCCGACUAUGGCGUCUCCGACAUUCGUCGUGUUGCUGGAUUCCCUAGAUCCGAGGUCGAUGCCGAUGUGGGGAUAGUUCGGAUCCCACGGGCUGUUGAUGAAGGUGUCGAACUCGACGGCGAAGACCGAGGGGCUAUUGCCGUUGGAGCCGAAAAUUCCGAGGUUGGCCCCAACAGCGCCACUGGGGAUGGUGGAGCCGACGGGGGCAAUGAAGAAAGCGAGGCCGUCAGCGGUUUUGCCAUCGGGGCUGGGUGUGAUGAUGAAGUUAAUGGUGGUUUCAAAGUCGACUUGGCCACCGGAUUGGGAGAACUGGACCGGCUUCGAGUACAAGACCCGGCCGACCUGGUAUGUCUCGAAGUCGGUGAGGCGGAGGAAGGUGGAGUCCGAUGGGAAAUGGGCGUGGCCUUGGUAGGUGAGAUCGGUCGGCUGGUCGCCCCAGAAGUCGUAGGUGAAGGACGUUGUUUGGGACCACACCGUGUUGGCAGCGGCGGCAAGGAGAAGGGCGAUGGAGAUUAGGGUUUGUUGAAGGUUGGCCAUCGCUUAAUUGAUUUGGAUGUG